rnacentral:lncRNA from 1 species
AUAGCGAGAAGUUGGAAAUCGAUCAGGAAGAGAUCGAGAAGAUGGGGAGGCGGCGGCAGCAGCAGCAGCUUUGCACGGUGUUCCUGAUGGCGUUCCUCGUCGUCUCUACCAUGGAUGUUGUCCACGUGGCCGCAGGUACGGUACGUGGGUGCACAUUGUAUGUAUGCUCCCUCCAGCCACGCGCACACACACACUAGCAGCAGACGUUCUACGCCGAUACGCGCGAUUCAUUUGUGAAGCCACUAUUACCGCUUAAUUACUCGCUUUCACACUUUGAUUGCACCAAGUGCCGCAGAAGUUACAUGACACGCAUGUGCAGGGAGAGCUAUCUAGCGCUAACUGGCUGCUUGUGGUGCGUACAGGGAGAGCGCUAGGGGAUGCAGAGAGCUUCGGAGGCAGAGGCACAAUCUCGACCCCCGGCAGCACGGCUUCCGCGCCUCGUGGCCAGCCCCCUGGCCGCCCUGCUGCUGCUGCUGCUGCCGCCGCCGCCGCCGCAGCCGGCGGAGCGCCAUGACGACGACCAACCAGCGUGCUUCUAAUAAGAAUAAUAAUUUCCUUUGAACAACAAGGCGCCUCUAGUCUAGGCUCUACAUAAUCACUAGUAAUCAGGUUAGUAUGAGUCUAUAUAGUAAUUUAAUAAGAUCCAAAACUGUAAUUGCGCGGCGGCGCUGUGUGUACGUGCAUGUACCCGUGAUGGAGAUGUAAGUGCUGUCAUUUGUGUACCUGUGGGAUGUUCGUAAGCCUGGAGUCUGGAGAUGAAGGCAAAUUAUUGAACUAUAAUCUGUGCCAAUAUAAUCUGUCAAGUUGUUUAUACUCUCCACUCCCACCAUACUACUACUUGGCAAAUAUCGAUGGUGAGUUUGUGAUUCCCAGCCGGCGUGUUGUUUGCUGACGGUGGUGGACGUGGCUUAGCAAAGGAAAAUGAGAAGGGGGAAGGAGCCAGGGGGCAUUUUAGAUAUUUUUCUAGUCAGACCCACACGUCAGGGCUAGCAAACGGUAGAGAAUUCAAACAUAACACGGACGGAAUGACUUAGGAGGCAAAAAAGAAAAAUGUUAUAACACAGAGGUCCGCUCUAAACAGUGGUGGAGCCAGGAUUUAAAACUUGGGUAUUCCCACUUCACUACACCAUGACCUACUUUUCCCUACACUCAUGUGUUGGGAAAACAAGGAUUUUAACAACAUAUAAAGUGUUGGCAAUUGUAUACAUUUUCCGCGUCUCAUAAACUGUCAAUAAUGACUAUGUAAGCCAACACGUAAUGUGUCGGCGUUUCUCCUCCCGACUAAAUAAGUGUCGGCGAAAGUUUUUAGACAAAAUAUGUGUCGUUGUAGCCCAACCAAACGACGGUCUAACUGUCGUCGAAGGAGUAGGCAGGGAACCACAAAUACAACAAUUCGGGUGAGCGGGAAACUACGCGCCAAAACAAGUAAUGCGCGGCAGCUAAAUGUUGAGCCCAAUAAAAAAGGCUGCCUCAGCGACCCAUUAGGCUUGGACUUCCACUCACCGACACCAAGUCACGACUCAGAAAGAAAAAAAAUCGCGACCACGCGCUGGGCGCCGCCACACGCACCAUCCGACCGCCGAGCGCCUACAGGAGGACUCCACCCACCGGAGCGCCGUCACCACGGUCCCCAGCCGGAGCUCUGCCGUCCCCAGCGCCGAAUCCCGCCGUGCUGCUGAGCGCUGCUGCUGAGCCCGCCGCCCCCAAUCCCGCCGUCGCCGUGUCCCCAUUCCCCCAAUAUCUGAGCGUCGUCGCCGUGUCCCCAUUCCCCUCUGAAUCCAGGUGCCUCAUCUCCACUUCCCCUUCCUCUCAUCCCCAUUCUUCUGCGUUCUAGGGUUUUGGCACAUAGCUUAUUGUCUUGUUUUUUUUCUUGGUUGCAGAAAGUACACGAAGGUGAGAAAGGCUAAGACAUUUAAGGUUUGCGUUACUUCUGUUGCCAAUUUGCAUUCAGGCCAGAUCCACCAUCUCUUCCCCUUUCUGGAGAAGGAAUUUAUUCAGCUUGAUUUAGAUAUGAAUAUGUUGUUUAAUGCCUUAAUUGAUUUGCAGAGGAACCAUCUCGAUUCAAGAUCUUGCACACCACACAAUCCAUCAGCUUGCAUGUAUAUUCUUUUAUGCUAUGUCUGCAACUUUUUUUAGUAUGAUGGCAAAGUCCACACUGAUGGGAGUUCAUAGUCACUUUACUUUGGUCCUUUAUGCGAGAAAAAACAUGCUGUGUUUAUUCUAUAUAUAAAAAGUUUGAGAGAAGAAAUCAAUUGAACUUUUAGUUGCAAAUGAAGUAUAAGUUUGUCUCCUCGCUGCACUAUAUCAGUUCUGAGUAUUUCUUUCUUUCUUGUGCAUGUUGCAAAAUAUCCAAUAAGAAAGCACUAAAGGAUUCAAGGCUUCAAUUGUUCUUUCUACCCACCUAUAGCUUUGAAGUAAGUUUGCUUUUGCUCAGGUUUUUGACUUAUUUGUAUUGCCUUGUGAUUAAAUAGUGUUGGCAAUAUUAUCUACAGGGAGCACGGGCAAGUUGCCCUUCUAGUCUUCAUCUGAUCUUCUAUUGUCAUUGCUUUAUUGGUAUGCUCUCCUUUUCUUAUGAACUCUAUCUCUUCAUUUGCUAUAGAAUUGCAGGUUAUGUGUUCUGUGAUGCCAUGUUUUUGGUUUCUUAAAACUAGACUAAAUUUCCCCUAUAGUUCAUGUUGAUGUCAUGUGGUGAGAUGAUUUUUUUAGCACUAAGUGUGGUGAAAUUGAUUUGAUUUGGACAAUUAUUUGGCAAGAUUUUCAUAUGUUUUUGGUUGAACAAUCCAAUUUGAAAUGAGAAAUGUUGUGUAUAUGUUUCACUAAUUGACACUUCAUUUUGUAAAAGGUGCAUCAUGGAUAAAACAUGGAUGGAUCAACCUAGGUACAUUAUAAAUCUAUAACCAUAUACUAGAAUCUGCGUGCAUAGGGUGUUUGGACUGAUUUCUUGAUAAUCAUGUGUAGGCAAACACUUGUGUAUAGAGAAGGAGUGGAUAUGUUUUUAGACUUUGCCUUUAGUAAUUCUGCAAAAGGAAAUCAGAUUUUAUGUCCCUGCAAGGCAUGCAAGAACUCUUGUUGGAGGGUCCGUAGUAUUGUACUUGAGCACUUGAUAUGUGAGGGAUUUACGGAAGGAUAUAUAACAUGGGUGAAUCAUGGUGAACCUAGUUCUAGUUUUUCCAUGAAUAGCAGACAACAUGAAAGGGUAGAAGUAGGGGACCCAAAUGAAGAGGAUGAUAUUUCUGGUUUACUUGAAGACAUAGCAAUGGGUUUAGAUGUCGAGGGGGAUUUAGAAGAGAACAACACUAAGCAACAUGAUGAGGAUGUGGAGGCUUUUUAUAAAAUGGUAGAAGAUGCUGGCAAGGAACUAUAUCCAGGUUCCGAGUUCUCGAAGCUACGUUUCAUUGUAAGGUUACUCCAUAUCAAGUUUGUUGGGCGAUGGAAUAACAAAAGCUUCGACAUGCUACUAGAGUUAUUUAAGGAUGUCUUACCUGAAGAGUCAUCAAUUCCUAAAAACUUUAAUGCAGCUAAAAAAAUGGCAAAAGGUGUAGGACUUCGGUACGUCAAAAUUCAUGCAUGUGAGAAUGACUGCAUACUGUUUUGGAAAGACCAUGCGACCAAAAAUGUUUGUCCAACAUGUAAAACCUCAAGAUGGAAAUCAGAAAAGAGUAGUCCUAGUGGAAAACGUGUGUAUAGGGUUCCUAGGAAAGUUCUACGUUACUUUCCUAUAAAGAAAAGGCUGCAAUGGUACUUUAUGUGCUAAAAAACAGCAAGUGACACAAGGUGGCAUGAUGAAGGGCGCACUAAAGAUGGUGUGCUGAGGCAUCCUGCUGAUGCUCCUUUUUGGAAAGAUUUUGACUCUAAGCAUCCAGUGUUUUCCUCAGAGAGUCGAAAUCUUUUUUUUAAAGAGAAUUAACUCUGCUUUUAAGAAAGCACAACGUAACAGGUUCGCUGGGGUUACCAGCCACAGUACAAAACAAGACUAACUCAGCCCACAACUCGGAAGGAAAGGACAACAGUUUUUACAACUAAAACAGAGCUGCUAAAUUUCGACGACAUCCGUAGCAGUGGAGGACUUGGGUUGGAAGUUCUUCAGCCAGCUUCUAAUUGCCUCCAGAACCUGCCACACGCGCUCCUUGUCCUCUUCCUUCAAAAGGAUACUCCAUCUCUGCAAGAAUGAUAUCGCCACAUAUAUCACAUCAGUUGGCAUUUUAACAAAGACCCUCUCAAUUGCCAUCUUGUUUCGCGUAAUCCAUAACGCCCAGGCAAAACCCGCGAAGAAAAACAUCAUCAACCGCUUAGGUAAAGGCCCCGUGCCAUAUAACCACGUCAUAGACAUAUCUUCUAUGGACCUAGGAACAGAAUCUAGUUCAAAGAUAUCCUGUAGAAUCCCCCAAACUAACCGAGCCAAGUGACAACCAAAAAACAAAUGGUUAAUGGUUUCAACAAUGUCACAAAUAUAGCAAUUUAUAUCACCCUUCCAACCUCUCUUUAUGAGAUUACCAGCCACCUGGAGUUUAUUAUGGAAAAUUUGCCAAAGGAAAAACUUGAUUUUCAAAGGAAUUUUGCAUUUCCAAAUAACUCCAGCAACUCUACUAGGCAUACCUCGAUCUGUUUGGAACCUAUAAAGAGAUUUCGUAGAGUACUGUCCCUUUGUCUCUAAAGCCCAGGACACCACAUCAGAAUCUUGGGUCUCCAAGCAAACCCCCGGUAAAGAGUUAGUAAGAUCUACCCAAUUGAUAUACUCUUCUGUGGUUAAGGCACGCCUAAAAUCCAUAACCCAAUCCCCUUCAUCCCAGCAAUCUGAGACAGAACAGCCAGGAUCUCUCACCAUCCUGAAAAGAUGUUCAUGGCUAACAGCAAGUGGAACCUCCCCGGCCCAGCAAUCUUCCCAGAACUUGCAAUGAUUCCCAUUUCUUACCUUAAAAACAGCACCCCAUUUAAAGAGAUUUUUCACCUUAUGUAGUCCUUGCCAGAAUUGGGAGACCCUUUUUGUCUUAGAUUUAAAGAAACCCCCUUCACCCAUAUACUUAGCUUUGACAAUUUUGAACCAAAGAUCCUCGGGUUCCUGAAAAAUCUUCCAGAUCCACUUAACUAAUAGGCAGUCAUUCAUAAUUCUAGUAUUUAUAAUCCCGAGACCUCCUUGGUCCUUAGGUCUACACACCAUUUCCCAUUUGGCCAUGUGGUAUUUAAAUUUGUCCUCGGCUCCUUGCCAAAGGAAUUUAGCCCUAAUGCUAUCCAUUUUCUUGUGAAUCCCAUCCAUGAGCCAGUAGAAGCCCAUACAAUAAAGAGGGAUACUGCUUAGACAGGAAUUAGUUAAAAUCUGUUUCCCCCCAGAUGUCAAAAAUUUCCCUUUCCAGGGAUCAAGUUUGGACAUCAUCUUUUGUGGAAGAAAGCUGAAGGCCCCCAUGGCUAAGUAGUGAUCACUGAUAGGAAUCCCUAAAUAUUUCAUAGGAAGUUCCCCCAGAACACAAUUUAACAUAUUGGCCAUUUCUUCUUUAUCUCCUUGAGAAACUCCAAACCCAUACACCUCACUCUUGUGGUAAUUGAUUUUUAGGCCAGUCAACCAUUCAAAGCAGUACAAAAUUAAUUUCAGGUUAGUAAUAGAAGUAACAGACCCAUCAAUCAUGAUUACUGUGUCAUCUGCGUACUGGAUAUGAGUAAUGCCCCCUGGGAUUAAGUGCUCAAGGACUCCUCGGAUGUGACCCUUUUUUGAAGCCUUAUCAAGAAACACUCCUAAGACAUUAGCUACCAAGUUGAACAGAAGAGGAGAUAGGGGGUCCCCUUGUCUUAAACCUCUGAAAGUUUUAAAAUAGGGACUCCUUUCCCCAUUAACAUUGAUGCAAACCUUCCCAUCUUUCACUGUACUCAUAACCCAGGAAAUCCAAAGAGCCGGAAAUCCUUGACCCACCAUAACCUGUUCUAAAAAACUCCAUCUCACUCUAUCAUAAGCCUUUUCAAAAUCCAGCUUUAAGAUAAGACCUUUUCCCUUAGAAUGAUGCAGUUCAUGAAUCACCUCAUGUAAAACCACUACACCAUCUAAAAUAUUCCUCCCUUUUAUGAACCCAGUUUGAUUCUUACUAAUUAUAUUUCUAGCCACCGGCACUAAUCUGUUAGUCAGGGCUUUAGUAAAGCAUUUGAAGUCAACAUUCAGAAGGCAAAUAGGUCUAAACUGUUUGACAUUAUUAGCUUCUUUAAGUUUGGGAACCAAAGUAAUCACCCCAUAGUUAAGUCUUUUGAUAUCUAACUUUCCUUCAAAAAAAUCCGAGAACAUCAAUCUCAUUUCAUCUUUUAUAUGGUCCCAAAACUUCUUAAAGAACACUACCCCAUAACCAUUAGGGCCAGGAGCAGAAUUUUCUUUCAUUUCCAUGACCACCUCUUUAAUCUCCUCCAUGGAGAAAGGUCUGAUUAGCUCUUCUCCUUCCAAAUGGGACACUUUCAUUUCCUCGGGCCAAAACUCAGAGUUGAGGAACAUGCUACAAGACUCAUUAUGUCCAAAAAGCUCCUUGUAAAAAUCCACAAUGUGGGCAGAGAUGGCACCUUGCCCUCUAAUCUCCUCACUACCAUUUUCCAGAGAGAUGAUUGUUUUCUUCCUCCUUCUGCCAUUAACAAGAUGAAAUGAACUUACAGUAUUUCAGAGAGUCGAAAUCUUAGACUAGCUGUAGCUAGUGACGGCUUUAAUCCUUUUAGGACCAUGAAAUCAACUUACAGUAUUUGGCCAGUUAUUCUGAUCCCAUACAACCUUCCACCUUGGAAGUGUAUGAAGCAAUCAAAUUUCAUUCUAUCCUUGUUGAUCCCUGGACCUAAGGCACCUUGUGGUGAUAUGGAUGUCUUUCUUGAGCCACUAGUGGAUGAUAUGGUAGAAAUGUUUGUUGUUGGUGUAAAAACAUAUGAUGCUUCAAAGCAUGAAACCUUCCAACUGCGUGCUGCCAUAGUUUGCACCAUAUCUGAUUUUCGAGGCCUAGGCUAUUUGCCGGCAUGUGUCACUUCUGCCAAAGUUGCUUGUCCUGAAUGCCACUUAGAUACAUGUUCUUUCCAGUUGAAAAAGGGAGGCAAGUGUGUCUACAUGGGCCAUCGCAGAUUUUUAGAUGCCAAACACAAAUUUCGGUUUGAUGCAGAUUCAUUUGAUGGUACCACAGAACUUAGGCCAGCACCUAGACCUCUUAGUGGAGAGGAAAUAUUGGAGUUGACAGCAAAUAUAUGCCCAACCUUUGGAAAGGACCCAAUAACCAAGAAGCCAGCCAAGUGUCAGUGCAAUCCAACUACAGAGGGGCCAUCCAAGCAAAAACGUAGGAAAGUUGAUGAGCCACCAACUGUUUGGAAAAGGAAAUCCAUUUGGUUUAAGUUGCCAUAUUGGAAAGACCUACUUCUACGACAUAAUUUUGAUGUUAUGCACAUAGAAAAGAAUGUAUGUCAGAAUAUUAUUGACACACUUUUGGACACUGAUGGAAAAUCCAAGGAUAACUUAAAUGCUCGCUUGGACAUCCAGGAACUUGGUAUUAGAAGUGAUCUUCAUCCUGUUAGUGUAGAAGAUGAUUUCUAUUUACCUCCAGCACAAUUUACAAUGAGUCUUGAGGCUAGGGAAGCAUUUUGCCAAGUAUUGAAGGAAGUGAAGUUUCCAGAUGGUUAUGCUUCUGAUAUGCGCCGUAAUGUGCAAGUUAGGGAGAAGAAGUUAAUUGGAUUAAAGAGCCAUGACAACCACGUAUUGUUGCAGGACUUACUUCCCAUCGCUGUUCGGAAUAAAUUGCCAGAAAGAGUUAGUGCAACACUAAUUCGUGUGAGCAAUUUCUUCAAGAAGAUCUACUCACCCACUAUCUGUAUCAAUGAUGCAAAAACUAGAGGCUGAAAUAGCCAAGACACUAAGUGUCCUUGAGACCAUAUUUCUGCCAUCUUUUUUUGAUAUCAUGGUACAUUUGCUGGUGCAUCUGCCAGCUCAAGCAAGACUUGCUGGUCCUGUACACUAUCGUAGCAUGUGGGCAGUAGAGAGGUACCAAACUAUUUCCAAUUGCUAUUAAACAUAUUUGUAGUUAGAUUCCACACUAAAAUGGUUACUUCAUAGGUAUUUGAUGAGGUUGAAGGGCUCUGUCCGUACUAGAAGUCAUCCAGAGGGAUCAAUUUGUGAGGCGUACAAGUUUGAUGAGAGUCUUACUUUCUGCUCCAAAUUUUUGAAAGGAUAUGAGACUGGACAAGCAGAAAAUGGUGAAAGGAUGGACUGUGAAAUUUGCACUACACCAUUCUUUCAAAGCACGGGACAAGCUUUGAGUGGCAAGUGCACUGUAUCAUUAGAAUACAAGACUUGGGUUCAAGCAUAUAGAUAUGUAUUGUUCAAUUAUGAUAAGAUAGAGCCGUACUUGAAGUAAGCAACCCACACGACUUCACACACAUUGCAUUUCUCGUCUUAUUAUGUAAACAUUUCUCAAUGAGUACCACACCUUUGCAGCAAACAUUUGGAGUACCUUUCCUCAAUUGGUCGCCACAAUCAGCGACAAAUGACUCGUAUCCAUCAUGAAACUUUUCAUGAUUGGUUUAGAAAGCAUGUAAGUAAAUGUGUGAUUAACAUGCUCUGUUCAGAUCUAAUACACUUAAAUUAACUAGACAUAAUAUGAUAUAUUUACAGGUGGAAGGGUUAGUUGAAAGUGGUGCAGAAGUAUCGGAAGAGAUACAAAUUUUGGCAAAUGAACCUUUCAUGAUUGCAACAACUUACAAUAGCUAUGCAAUUAAUGGAUUUAAAUUCCAUACAUCCUCCUAUGAUGAGGGUAGACCUAUUCAAGGCAGUGGAAUAGCUUUGAUUGCCCAGACCUCUUGCUUUGAAAAUGGAAACAAUGUGGAACCAGUUAUGAGAAACAAGAUAUACUAUGGCAUAAUCAAAGAAAUUAUUGAGUUAAAUUAUCGCAACAAAGGAAAUAUAGUUUUAUUUAAAUGUGAUUGGGUGGACAAUCACAUUCAAGACAAAUGGGUAAAAAAAGAUCAAUUUGGGGUUACAAGUGUUUAUUUCAAGCAUUUUUGUUCAAUACUGGAGAAAAAAUGUUAGAUGAGCCUUUUAUUUUAGCAUCACAAGUUGUACAGGUUUACUAUGUUAAGGAAGGCCCAGAAUCAGAUUGGCAUGCUGUUGCCCAGUCAAAACCAUGUGGUCUUUAUGAUAUGGGGGAUGAUAACGAAAUACGUAACCCAAUGCCUGAUUUGGAUACAAAUGUGGAUCUUAGUGGUCUUUUUGGAGAUGUUGUACAUGUAAGAACUGAUAUAGAUGGGGUCAUUGUUGCUGAAAGAAAGAGAAAGUAAGUCUCAAACGCCAUCAAUUGUUGCUGGUCCUAUGCAGAUUUUCCUUUGACAUUGUUGUUGUUUGUCUAAACUAAUUGUUUUUUUGACAACCAGUCUGUUGUUGAUUCCUUAGAUAUUUGCACUAUUACAUGAGAAUCCUGUACUAAUUCAUUUUUUAGGAGAAACAAUGCCAAAAGCAGGGGGAAAAAGAAAAGUUGUGGACCGAACUGAUUGUGAGAAUGACAUGGAGCCAACUGUUUAUGAAUUGGAAAGGGAUGAAAACAUCAGGUUAAGGAUACAGAAAAUGCAAGAACUGAAUAUCAUGCCUACUACACAAGAACUUAAUGCCAUGCACCAAACAAAGAGAACAAAAAAGGUAUGCAUUCCCAUGAAUCUAAAAUGUUCUCAAACAAUUAUAUGAUCUGAAAUAAUUGUGUCCCAAAAUGUAGCCCCGAGGUCCACCUGAGGAAACAGCAACUGGACGUAACUUACGAUCUAGCUCUAGAGUAAGUGCGCCGCAGGUUGAUAUCCAGGCUACGAAUGAGCAUCCUGAGAAUCAACUUAAUGAAGGUAUUUGUCUCUUGUGACAACUCAUAAUGCAAUGCAUCAUGCUUACUUUAGUUGGGUGUAAUAUGCUAUAUUGUUUUUCCAGUUGUUCCAGAAGAGCCCAAAAAAAAUGUUCGAGGACCUACUACGAAGGCUGAUAUCUAUGCAAGGCAAAAUAAAUCUAAACUCCAAUUGGAUGUCAAUAUGAAUGGUCAGCCCUGUGGACCAUCAGGCACUAAAUUUGCUAACUUCAUUGGAACACUUGUGAGAACAAAGGGUUUCCCAAUUGCACAUGAUGAUUGGAGGAAGGUCUGUCCACGCCAAAAGUAUAAGCUUUGGACAGAUGCAAAGGUACUAAAAUUGGUUGCAAAUUAUGUUCUGUAUUAAUGUGAUUGGGUCCUAAUUUACUAUUUGUGUGUUUGUACAGCUAUAUUGGCAACUAGACAGAGGUGUCUUCCAUUGGUUCAUGAGGACUGCAGCUACAAAGUGGAAGGAGUUUAAAGCAGAAUUGAAAAAGGUGUAUGAUGAUGACAUGGAAGAUGAUGAAUUGCAUGCUCUCUGUGAUCCUAGAGUUCAUAUGGAUGACUGGAAGUGGCUAGUUAAUCAUUGGAGGACUCCAGAGGCAGCUGUAAGUUACAAAUUGCCAUGCUCAUUUUCAUAAUGUAUAUGGCGGAGAAACAAAUUGCUUGAUAAACAUGACAUAAUUUGGUAGGCCCGUUCUUUGAGGGGGAAAGCAAAUCGUUCAAAGCUGACCCAAAACCAUACAACUGGAAGUAAGAGCCAUGCACGUAUUGGUACUGAAAUGGUAUGUAAUGUCUACUUGUAGUUUGUUUUCCCUUUAUUCGUAUCCUGUGACUCCAAUAACAUACAUAUGGUUUAGGGUGAGGAGCUAGGGCGCCCCCAUCGUAGAGAUGAAUUGUUUAUCAAAACUCACACACACAAGAAUGGAGUACCUCAUAAAGAAGCUGCAACAACAAUUGUAAGUGUGAUAAACAAUUGUAAGUCUGAUAAACACAAUAAUUUCUCAUGCCAUCAUAUUUUGCUAAUUUUUUUAUUUCCUGCAGAAUGCCCUUCAAGAUGCAAUUAGAGAUAAACCUGAAUUGAGAGACAAGAGUAUCCAGGAAGGUGAUGCUUAUUCCUAUGUUUGUGGGGCAGAGAGGAAUGGAUAUGUUCGUGUUGUGGGUUUGGGGCCAAGUCCAGCAGAUUUGGACAUGCCUGGAGCUAGGAAAUGCCUAUCAACAAGGCUUCAAAUGGAGAUAGAAGCUCGUCGAGAAUCUGAUAGGAAAGUGGAAGAUCUAUCAAGUCGUCUAGAAAUUAUUCAGCAAACUCUAGAUAGAUUGAUGCAGCAGCAAAAUGCCAAUAGCACUCCCCAUGGAUCUAAUAGUGCACAACAGGUGGCAAUUGUUAACCUAUAUUUCUUACUAUUUUCUUUGUCAGUGCAAUAGCUGUUCAAUGGUAUUUACUUUGAUUUAGAACUUGAGGGCUACACCAACCUAUCAUGAUGAAGUACACGAAGAAGAUGAAGAACAAGAUGCUAGAUCAUAUGCAGGGGAUGAUAUGGCUGAUAUGAACAUAGAAGAGGAUGGCUUUGUCAGUAGACGAGUGGUCCGCCAAGAGGAGCAACAUAGUGAGGUAAUUUUCUUGUUCUGAAAUCCAGCAGGAUAGAUCAUAUAUUAGCACUAGCCAUAUCUCUAGAUAAUUAUAUAUUAAGGCCACGAAGAGAGCACUUUGUUUUCUUUCUUUCUUUUUUGGUUGAGCUCAGCUUGUUUUGAAAUCAGCAGGAUGGAAAUAGAGAUUUUUAUCAACUGUGUUAUCAUCUUGUUAGCUUUGUUCUGAAAUCAGCUUUUUAUCAACUAUGUUAUCAGCUUGUUCUGAAAUCAGGAUCAAAUCUGCAGCAAUAGAGAUUUUUACAAUCAGUUUUUAUGGUGUUCUGAAUUUUUUUUGAUGCUUUAGGGUGGCAGAGAUGUGAUACUAUAUAAUAUAGUAAGGCCCUAUGAAGUCCCUGUGGCAAAGGCUACCAUUCAAACAAAAAACCCAAGGGCUAUUGUUGGGGGUACUGCUCUUGGCGUGGAGUACUGUGAAGUUGUUGUGAACCAUGUGUUUAACCGGAAUGCAAUACUACCUCGUCCAUAUGAAGGGGUCACCACCAUUCUAGAGGCUCGUGGGAGAUGUAUUGCAUGGCCACAUGACAGAGUAAUGGCCUAACCUCUCUAUAUUCUUUAAAAAAUGAUCAUUAUAUUUUGAUUAGUAAUAUAUUUGUUUUCUACUAGAUGAGGGAUGACAAGUCACCUCGGCACUCAAAAGGUGGUGGCACUGGAAGGACAUCACAACUUGAAGGUAUUUUACUUGAACAUUUUGACUUAUAUAUUUGGUGCUUGUUGCAAAUGGUGCUUGUUGUUGCAAUAUGAAAGCUUUUGAGCUGUUCCUUCUAAUCUUCUAUAUACACUGAGGUGCUGAUUCAGUAAGUUUAGUAGACACUCAAGCUAUAACUACUUUAUAUAGAAAUAGUAUCAGGUUGCUGCAGCUGCUCUUGCUCCAUUGAAAUCUUUAUUUGCUGCCAAUUUUUAAGCUGUUGGUACCUAAGCUUGUUGCUUGUAGCAUAGCUGUCCACUGUACAGUAAUACUAUUUCACUAUUUGGACCUAAUAACAAAGAAGAAGUUAAUGAUAUAGAGCAUAUUUCACUGAUAUUUCUCCUUCUUUUUCAUGUUAGGUACUUAAGCUAUGUGGUGUUGAAAAUAUUUUGGACUGGGCAACCUUUUGAGCUUUGAUCAGAGAGCUGUUACAUGUUCUCUAGAAUGGCAGCAACCAUAUGUGCACCAAGUUGGUGUCCAAGUAUUUUGGAGUGGCAACAAGUGUCCGAGAAAUGCAAAUGUUGCAGGAAGACAUGAAUUGCAGUUCUGUUCUUUUGUUUACACCUACUAGGCUACUAUCGUGUAGGCCAAAAACAUAUGGAAGUGUUGAAUGCCACUUUUGCGCCCAAGUCAUGAUCUAUUGAUCUCUUAGCUUUAGCCAUAACCAGUUAGUAUAUAAGACUUAGUAUAUGCUUAUGUAUUGUUGCAUAUACUAUGAUCAUCACUUGACUUGUUAUGUAUGGUCAUCACUGGACCUAUAUAUGUAUGCCUCUAUGUACCAUGAUCAGCAAUGGCUAAACAUUGGAAUUUGUUUACUAAUUUUAGCUAAGCUCUUGGAUUGCAGUUUUGAUUUCAUUCUGAUCGCUAAUUUCUUUAAACUGUUAUGGUUAGCUCACACUUAAUUACUAUAAUUUUCUCUUAUGUAUACUAUUUGAAUCUCCAAAAAAAAUCAAAUUGGAAUUACUCGGGGCGGUGAAUCAAAAAGCAACAAUGAGGACAUUUUCACAACUUGUAUACUCCCUCUGUAUAGGAAUUAGACGUCGUUUUGGGCAAGGUUUGAGUCAAACAUUAGAAAUAUAAAUCAUCAAUAACUUUUAAAUUGUUGAGUUCGCAAAUGUAAAAAUUAUAUAAAUAUAUUUGUCUUAAACAUACUUUUAUAAAAGUAUACAUAUAUCAUUUUUUCUAAAUAUUUUUAAAAAAAUAAGAGAUCAAAUUUCUGCUUUGGAGACCAUAUCGCUAUCCUUAACGAGAUCUAAAUUCUAUACGUAGGGAAUAUGUAUCAAAGUCCUGCGAUAUAGAAUCUUAUAUAUAUGUUGUAAAAUAAAGAAAUAUUUCCACAAUUCAAAUUGAAAGUCCUACAAUAGAUUCUUGUACUCAGACAACAGUUCCAUGUGCGUCCAUCUUUCGGGACUCACCUCUCUCCCCAAGCAUCUAGGGCCACAAAAGAGGAAAAUGAUUCUCACAUGCCUCUCAGUAAGUGUAUUUGCUCUUAUCUUCCUUAUGCCAUGGUGACUGCUCUUCCCAUCUUAAAAUAAAGAAAGUUGCUAUAGUAUAUUUCAAGUGUCUGAUUUCUUUAGAAAAUUUUAGACAAUAAUCUUACACAAUCAAUUGAAAUAAUUAAAAGAAUAAGUCAUAAGCAUAUUUUUAACUAGGAGAAUUCUCCGCGCGUUGCCGCGGAUAUGAAGGAUGAAUAUAAAUAGGUCAGAAUGUUAACUAAUAAGAAUUAGAAAAUUAAAUGUAUAUAAAUGGAGUUGGUAACACAGAAACAUGAUAUAUAAUAUAAGAGAAAGCGGAUGUUGUGAUCCGUGGAGUAUAUAUAUAUACAUGCGAGGAGUGGUGUCGUUGCAGUAAACAGCUAGCUGCAGCUUGGCGUUAGAAGCCUAUUUGUUCAGGUACUCGAUGGCGAUGGUGGCAUGGAGCCUGGCCUCGUCCAUGUCGAGGUGCAGCGAGUCACGAGUGCACAUGAUAGAUAUUCUCUAACUUGGUGUGCUGUCUUGUUGAUGCAGAUGCUGAAGAAAGCCAUCGGGAUUCUAUGAGUAGAAGCCGAAGUCCCAGCUGCCAUGAAAUGGGGGCACAACCUCGUUGUUUAUGGAUCUCCUCCUCCAUGCAGUCACGGCUCUCAUACACUAUCCCAUGGCAGCCUGCCCUUCUAUCAGCUGCCAAUAGAAGCUUCGCGCCACUCCGAUGAAGGUCAUGGACACCACCUGCAAGUGCAAGUAAGAAGAUGCCAUGCAUUACAAUUCGAUCAAUCUGUUGUGCUAUAUAUACUCGAAAGUCGAAACUGUUGCCACCAGCACAUCUCCUUCAAGUCUAUGGUCAUAUAUAUAUAUAUAUAUAUAUAUAUAUAUAUAUGACCAUAGACUUGAAGGAGAUGUGCUGGUGGCAACAGUUUCGACUUUCGAGUAAUUGCAUUUGUGGUGGGCCGACGAAACAGCAGGGAUUGGAGACGAACUACUACUCGUCAUGACGCAUGCGGCCAUGCAGAAGUGGACGACGAACGGAUGCAACUUGCAAGAGAGUUGAAAGUUAAUGCUACUUAGUGGGUGUUAAUUGGAAGACGAAAUACUACUAUAUUGCGUGCAUGAACUUGGAAGACGUACUACUACUACGCAUGCAAGCACAUGAUUAGAUGGUGUUAAUUGAAAGGGAUAAGUGGAUGACGUGGCGCAAGGAGGUGCUAGAGAAUUAGGUUAGUGAGGUUUAUCUUUAUAGGAGAUAUAGAUAGCCAAAGAAUAAUGAAAUUACAUGUUACCGAACAACAACAACGGAAAACCAAGCAUAUGAAAUAUAAGAGAAGUGCUAGAUAAGUACAUAUCUCUAUAUUUAGGAGUCAAACAACCUUAAAACUCCUUAAGUUUGCAAAUAGAUAUAAAAAAAAUACUAAUAUUUAGGAUGCCAAAUAAGCAUUAUUAGAUUAAUUACACUACAUAUGUUUACAGUAAGCCUAUUUAGAUAUACCAAUGUUGAUAUUAUUUUUCUAUAAAUUUAGUUUUUUUAUUUGGUUGAUUCCUUAAAUUUUUUUUUUUUUGUUUCUAGAGACGCCCCUCAUUGCCCCAUCCUCCACCUCCCCUCGACAGACGAGCUUUCUUCACGUUCCUCGUGGGAUGGGCCAAAUGACCCAAGUCAGUCUAAAGUUGAGUUAAAAAAAGUGCAGCCCAAAGUUUUUUUUUUUAAAAAAAAUAUCUCCAAUUCAGCCCAAAGUUGGGGAGUAAAACCCUAGAUCUUCUGUCCCGGAAAAUACAUACUUCCAGUUCCAGUAUCCAAAGUUCCAAACCCCGUAUUCGCAGCCGAGCGGAGCCGCUGCUCCCAACCUCUUCAAAUCAAGUCCCAUCUCUUAUCAAAAAAUCAAAUCCAAUUUCUGGACCUUCUAUGUGAUUUUGUCUAUACAUGCCCUAAGAUGUUUUAUUGGAUAAGACUUUUUUUUCAUUGCCGUUAGAUUUUUUUUUAUAUUCCUAUUUCUCAAUGAUUGCUAAUACAAUUAAAAAAAUAUCGAUAGCGUAAACCCUGGUGCUAGUCUGCAGCUAGUCACGCCACCAGGAUGGACCGAUGGGGGAUGACAACAACAACAGCGUCGCUCUCCUUGACCAGCUGGAAGCAAGCGGCGCACCUGCAUAUCUAGGGCUUGUUUAGUUCCGAAAAUUUUUUGGUUUUCGAAACUGUAUCACUUUUGUUUUUAUUUGAUAAAUAUUAUCCAAUUAUGAAGUAGCUAGGUUUAAAAGAUUCAUCUUAUGAUUUACAGGUAAACUGUGUAAUUAAUUUUUUUCAUCUAUAUUUAUUGUUUCAUACAUUUGCCGCAAGAUUUGAUGUGACGGUGAAUCUUAAAAAGUUUUUGGUUUUUGGAUAAACUAAACAAGGCCCUAGCCAAAGAGAGGGGGGGGGGGGCGGGGAUGGAAAAUAAGUGCUGUUGAUUAGUGGUUGACUCAGGGUCCACGCCUUGGCGAAGAUCCGAAGGGCAGGCCAGGGCAGGGCGGGCUCAUCAGUCCUCUGUGUUCUCUGUAUAAAAGUGCAGUGAGUGUGCGCAUCAUUCCGCAGAGCUGAGGCCAUAGCGACAAGUUGUAGCAGAGGAAAUCGAUCAGGAAGAGAUCGAGAAGAUGGGGAGGCAGCAGCUUUGCAUGGUGUUCCUGAUGGCGUUCCUCGUCGUCUCUACCAUGGACGUUGUCCACGUGGCCGCAGGUAUGUACGUACGUAGGUGCACCUUGUAUGCUUCCCUCUAGCCACACACACACAAUAGCAGCAGACGUUCUACGGCGAUACGAUUCAGUUGUGAAGCUACACGCAUGUUAGUUACGUCGCAUGACAAUUGACAUGCAUGUGCAGGUAGAGCUAGCUAGGGCUAACUGGCUGCUUUUGUGUGGUGCGUACAGGGAGAGGGCUAGGGGAGGGGAGCUAUGGAGCCUUGAUCCCCGGCGGCACGCCUUCCGUGCCUCGUGGCCAGCCAUACACUGGCCGAACAUGCACAAAAAUCUACGCGUGUAAACCGCCUGCUGCUGCUGACGCUGACGCCGCCGGCGGAGCGCCAUGACGACGAUCAGCAUGCUUGGCCUGUUUAGAUUGGGGCUGAAAAUUUUUUGGGUGUCACAUCGAAUGUGUGGGAAGGAUGUCGGGAGGGAUUUUUAGAAACUAAUAAAAAAAUAAAUUACAUAGCUCGUCAGGAAACUGCAAGACAAAUUUAUUAAGCAUAAUUAAUCUGUCAUUAGCAUAUGUGGGUUACUGUAGCACUUAAGGCUAAUCAUGGAGUAACUAGGCUUAAAAGAUUCGUCUCGCGAUUCUCAACUAAACUGUGUAAUUAGUUUAUUUUUUUAUCUACAUUUAAUGUUCCAUGCAUGUGUCCAAAGAUUCGAUGGGAUGGAUGAAAAAAUUUUUGGUGGGGAACUAAACAGGGCCUAAGAAUAAUAAUUUCCUUUGAACAACAAGGCGCCUCUAGUCUAGGCUCUACAUAAUCACUAGUAGUAAUCAGGUUAGUAUGAGUCUAUAUAAUAAUUUAAUAAGAUCCAAACUGUAAUUGGGCGGAGGCGCUGUGUGUGCAUGUACCCGUGAUGGAGAUGUAAGUGGGAUGUUCGUAAGCCUGGAGUCUUGAGAUGAAGGCAAAUUAUUGAACUAUUCUGUGCCAAGUUGUUUAUACUCUCCACUCCCACCAUACUACUACUAGUGGUAUGCCCAUGCUAACGUCACGGAAAAAGUUAAAAAGACAAUAGGUUUCUAUAAAAUAAGAAUAUAUAUAGCACAAAAAUAAAAGACUGAAUGUGUUCAAUCUAACAUGGAUCUCACAUCUUUUCACUUCGCAUCCUCUGGAACGCCAUGAAGAUAUAGAACGUUGUUGCACCUGUAUGUAGAUGUACAAACAUAAGAAUUGAAUCAUACAAGGGCCAAAGAUCCAAAUUCUAAAAAGUUCUAAAAGGUGCACACCAAUUUAAGUUUUGAAGCCCUAGCCUUCCUUCACAUGUAACUUGAUCAACACUACCAUAGUACUUUCUAAGUAUCUGUACUUGGAGUAGGGCAGCUGGAUGACAGGAUGGAUGAUAGCUUUUCCUAGUUUUAUAUCUAGAUUUAUUACAAAACAAAACUACUUGACAUGAGCUUACAAUUGAUUUAGUGAUAAAAGCUAUAGAAGUAAAUUUACAAUUGAUUUAGUGAUAAAAGCUAUAAAAGUAUAUUUAGCUUUCUUCAAAUGAAUGUCCCAUCGAGCACAGACUUGAAUUUUAGAAACAUGACCACAUGAAUGUCAUUGCUCCUUCAAAUACUUUGCCUCUGCACGCAACCUGCAGCACAGUUUUAGCUUCACAUCAAAUACCUCAGCUCACAGUCUGAUGUGGAACAACUUUGCAAGAUGUAUUUUUUUUUUUCUCACCUGGAUCGUCGAUGACAAACGUGACAGCAUCCCUGUGCAUAGCCCCACCUGAUUUAGGCAACGUGGUUCAAAUUAAAUUUGCAGAAAACAUGUCCUUAUUCACCACUUUGAUCCUGUCAAUGUACCAAUGUCACCUCAGUCAUAUACACUUAUCACUAUUCACCAAUGUCCUUAUUCACCACUUUGAUUCUAUAGCAGGUUUUGUAGUUCAGGAAAACAAAUCUUGUGUGUAAAAUUGUAUUCCGCCAAAGAAUAGAAGCUCUUGAGCAGGUUGCAAUAUCACAGUUUUCUUUUUCAGUAGAAAUAAAUUGGCUAAUAUAGAAAAUCUUGCAAUGAUUAGGGUGCAGAUUUAUUACCAGACAAGCACCAAAGUAACUUGAGUUCUCAGUUUCAGGUUACAGGAGUAUACCAAGUUACACAGAUUUAUUGCCUAGCCUAGCAUUACAAUACCAAGUUACACAGAGAACUUGAACUAAAAAAAUGAUCCAAGAAAGGAAAUGUGAAGAAGUCACCGAGACAGUAGGAAGCUACAUGUUUCCAGCAAUCCCAGACCUAGAGAGUAUCAAUCGAACAACUGGAUUCCAUACCGAGCAUCAUAUUAUGAAAUCAGACUCUAAAUGUAUUUCUAAGCAUUCAUAUUUUCAAUCUAAGGCAAUACCAUAAAGAAAAAAAAGUUAAAAGUAGGAACAGUACACAAAUCUCACCAUGGUAUAUCCCCACCUGACAUGAACAGGAAACCUUGGACCCUUCUCUCAUAUUCCAUUAAAUUGCAAUGAAAACAACACAUUAGAUGUCCACAGAUAAACAAACCGAAUAAGCACCCACCAUUGGCCCCUGUUUCAAGCAUGGAAAAUUUGAAGUCUGUAAGAACUCUGCUCACUGAUGUGAAAUUCAUAAUCUGCAAGAAAAUCUGAAUGUAUGAGAGCAUGCAGCCAGGUAUCAUCUGGUUCAAGCCACAGAGAUACUAUGACAACACAGUUAGCACUAAAUCUAGUUCUUCUAUACUCAAUUUCCUCUUGACUCUAGUUUGGCAUGCACAAACGACCAUAGCUUCCCUUCCCGUGAAGGAAACGAACCAGUCCAAGAAAGCACCACGGGGAGCGAGCGGGCGUAAAAGCAGCGCUGAACUUUACCUGCAACUGAAUCGGCGAGCACGCGAGCGCGGAGGCCGACGGAAGACGACGACACGCCGGCGUGGCGUCGGGCGCGGCGGAAUCGCUGCGAGGGGAAUCAGGAGCUCCGCCCGUGGCAGCAUGGUGCCCAUGACCUACCCUGCGUGGCUGCGUCCCAUCGCCCGUGAAUGGUGGCGUGAUUGAAAAAAGAAAACUAUGUAAUUUCAUUUGCCGGUGAUUGAAGCCAUCGGUGCUCGAUCCGCGACCUUGGGUGAGUGCGCGCGGGCGAGCGUGGGAGUGAGGAGAGUUGGAAGCGGCUUCUCACCUUUUAAUCUCAGACGUUGGAUUCUUAGUUGGUGUGUUGUGAGCCGUUGAUCUUGAAGGAGGGAUGUGACUUCAAGAAGAUUUCAAUUAUAGUAGAGACUUGGCAAAAACGUCUUCGGUAUGUGAGCAGUUUACAAAUUAUUGAACUAAUAUGUAUCAAUCUAUCAAGUUCACUUAGCAGAAAAGUUAGAGAAAAUUUCCAUUUUGACAUCAGAAAAAAAUAUGGCUUUCUUAUUUGACUCCAAAACUAAAAUGCUUUCCUAUCUGUCCAUAACUCAAGUUUUUGUUCCUAUUUAACAUUUCCAUUAGUUCUGUGUGAAAACACGGUUAGUUGUUGAAGUGGGGGCAAUAAGGCCUUGUUUAGUUCCCAAAAAUAUUUGUAAAAUUUUUCAGAUUCUCCGUCACAUCGAAUCUUUAGACGCAUGCAUGGAUUAUUAAAUAUAGACGAAAAUAAAAACUAAUUGCACAAUUUAGUCGGAAUUGACGAGACGAAUCUUUUAAGCCUAGUUAGUCCAUGAUUGGAUAAUAUUUACCACAAACAAACAAAAGUGUUACGGUGUCGAUUUCACAAAUUUUUUUGAACUAAACAAGGCCUAAGAAAAGACUAAAAUGUCCUUAGAGGAAAAGGAAAUAGAGGAACUUGGUCAUCUCUUGAGUCCAUGCCCCUCUACUUCCACCGAGGGUAAAACGGUCUUUUCUCCUAGAACUUAACACUGUUAACUGUGUAAAAUGACAGAAAUGUGGAUAUUUUUCGAUCGUAUUCGAAACCGAAUUCGUUUAGAGGGAUUUAGAUUUGUCCGUAUCCGAGUUCGAAAAUUCAACAUCCGAUACCAUAUCCGUAUCCGAAUACUUAAAUCGUAUAUUCAUAAUGUCGACAUCUAAUCUUAUCUUAUCCGACAUAGUUGACAUUAUCCGUAUUCAAAUCCGAAUCCGACCAGAAAUAUGAAAACAAAUAUGAUAUCGAUGAUAUCCGUCCAUCCCUAAAUGUCAGGUACUAAAGAAAAACUCAACUGGAGGACAGAAAGGAAAGAAUUAUCUUUCGAUGUCAAAUAAGAAAGUGUCAUUCUUUCUAGUGCCAAAUAGAAAAUUUUCUCAAAAAGUUAUAACUGAAAAUAUUGUUUGCUGAUUUAUUCUGAGAGAAAAACACUGUUGAAUUGUUGAAUGGCUGACAGUCGACAAAUAAACUCAAGUGAACAAGAAAAAAAUGUGGAAAUUGACAUACUAAAUUUUUAACUACUGCAUUAUUACCAGCCCACCUCCUCAUUUGCAUUGCAGUUGGCUUUCCCAAAAGAUCAUUUUAGUUUUACUAUGGUCUCAAAAGCAUGACAACUUUUUUUAAAAGAGAGAGAGAAGAAUAGCAGCCAAAAUAUUAAUAAUUUGAUGAAAUUAAUCUGAGUGCAAGAUUAAGCUGGCCGAAUAUGCUCAACUUCAAAGCGUUCAAAAUAAUUAAAGAAAGACAAUACAAGCGCAGGAUCUAGGCCAUGGCGCAUUAGGACCACCAAUUCUGAGGGGAUGAGUCAAGUGGCCCACGACGAGUUCAGCCCAAGACGGGGGAGAAAAACCCUUGGGUCGUUUCCUAUUUUCACAUCCGAGCUAAGCCAAAGCCAAAGCCAAGAGCAAAUCCAAGUCCUAUCUUUUCAUCAAAAUCAAGGUCAUGUUUAGUUCCUGAAAUAUUUUGAAAGUUUUCAAUAUUUCUUGUCCAAAUCUUGUGGCACAUGUAUAGAACAUUAAAUAUAGAUAAAAGAAAUAACUAAUUGUAUAGUUCACUUGUAAUUUGUGAGAUGAAUCUUUUAAGCCUAGUCUUGCGAGAUGAAUCUCCUCUAGCUAGCGAUACGAGACUAAAGACAUCAUGUUGUGAGCAACAACUAAAAACAAAAGAGAUGUGACCUUGUUUUUCUUGUUAAGACCCAGGCAGACAACACCACCUCAGGCAAAUGUGUCAUGGAUGGAUACUUGUUAUUUUGUUCUUUUCUCUGCCUUUUCUAAUAUUAACUCAAAAUUUAUUUCCAUACUAUAUUAUCUAAAAUUUAUUUAUACAAAAGUGCAUGUGAUAUAUGGAUUAGGUGGGUUGAUAUAAACUGCUUUGCUAUCACGGACUGUGUUUGCAAAACCCAUGGGUUUACGGAUUUGGAUACUACAUUUCCAGAUCCAUGCUCAUAAACCCGCUAGGUUUAGCUUUUUACCCAUUAACAAACUCAUAGAUAGAGAAAUUGAUCCAGAUACAUGUCCUAAUAAUGUAAAAACGCAUAAAGUUUCGGGUUUCAGGUUAAACCAAGCAUAUAUGCUUGAGGUUAGCCAUUAGCUUGUGUAGUGUUUUGGUUUGGUGCUUAUUCGCAUCCAAUAUUUUGGCAAUUGAAUUUGAUACGAUGCUAUGCUAUGGUUCGCUGCUAAGCUUGCUUGACAGGUUUCUUUUUCAGUUACCAGCCCGUUAGUGCGGUGUGAAGUGUACAGUAGUACCCUGUUGAAACAAUAUAUAGUGCAUAUGUCUCGGUUUUCCUUACCAAGUUUAUGUGUUAAUUAGUAGAACAAAUUUAUCCAUCCAGGGAAAAACUUCAAGAGUAGCUAGGACUAUAGAGGGAUAAAGAGACCGAUAUCUCUAGUUCAUACAAAAUGAUUCACAUAAGUAGGGUGACUAAUUAUUUUUUAUUCAAACAACAAAAAUAUGGUUGAUCGUUUCUUCUAAUAUGCAUGCUAGAAAGCUGCUAUGUUGAUGAGAGAAAGGUUAGUCAAAUUGAUUCCUUUUGCAGUUGAGCUAUUAAGGCUUUGUUUACUUCCACCUCAAAACCUAAUUUUUUUUAAGAUUCUUUGUCACAUCGAAUCUUUAGAUGCAUGUAUGGAGUAUUAAAUAUAAACAAAAAUAAAAACUAAUUGCAUAGUUUUGUCGAAUUUACGAGACAAAUUUUUUAAGCUUAGUUAGUCUAUGGUUAGAUAAUAAUUACUAUAAACAAACGAAAUUGCUAUAGUGUCGUGAAUUUUUUCCCAAUAGAAACUAAACACGGCCAGACGGGAAUGCCUACGCGGGUCCUCUAUCGAUCGAAGGGCACUCAUUGAAGGUUCCAUCCUCUUUCAAAUAGAAUAGCAAAGCUAGAGCCUACAAAAGAUAGAGCAGGCCUAUCGUUCUGAUUGAUGUCCAGCAGAAUUAAACUAUGGCCUUGUUUAGUUCCGAAAAGAUUUCGGAUUUCGGUACUGUAGCGCUUUCGUUUAUUUAUGAUAAAUAUUAUCUAAUUAUGGACUAACUAGGAUCAAAAGAUUCGUCUUGCGAUUUACAGCUAAACUGUGUAAUUAGUUUUUGCUUUCAUUUAUAUUUAAUGUUUCAUGCAUGUGCCGCAAGAUUCGAUGUGACAGGGAAUCUUGAAAACUUUUUGCUUUUUCGGGUGAACUAAACAAGGCCUAUGCAAGGUACGUGUAACGAUCCAAAUAAACCGUACUCCUUCACCUUGACUAGCUAUCUUUGAGAAUCUCCAAUAAUGCCUUAAAAUAAGUGUCAGAAAUCAAGUUUUAAAAAGCUUGCAAAAAAUAAUAGGAAGAAAAAAAAAUCACCCUAGUUCUCCAACAGUUCCCGAGAUUUCAUUAAAAUAAAUCAUUUCUUUGGCAAUGCCGUCUUACACAACUCAACGUGUUUGUUCCACUAGUUUGAGUUUGGGUAAGGGCUUGUUUGGAUAUACUCUCUCCAUAAAGGAUUUACAAAGUCAUUUAGGAUAUAAUUGCGCUUACCAAAGAGUAAUUAAUUAGAGAAUAUUUUUCUCCUAAUAAAUAAAGUUACGGAUGCAUCUCUUCUGAAAAACAAUCAAGGCUCACUGUUGGCACUCGGUUUCGCGUUUGGCCUCGCUCGUGAAUUUGGGCGCUCACAAAUAAAUGACGCGGCGGAGAACUGAGGCCGAGCGUGCGUAUACGUAGCGGCGCAGGGGCAAACACGUCAAAAAUCAACCCCAUCGCCUAGAACGACUUUCUUUGCCAAAACAUCGUCGCCCAGAAUGACUGGUAAAAGCUAUACGGAGGGAGUAUAUGGUUAGUUACUAGUUGGAGCUAAAAAUUAGUCCAAACUAGUUAUGGUUAACUGGCUAGUUUGGUAACAACUAGUUGAAAACUUGGCUAAAAAAAUUGCCCCUUUUGUUAGAUGGUAGCACAUGGUUAGAAUCAUGUAACAUGAUCAAGAUAUUUCAAGCUAGGUAACAUAGCAUAGAGCAUGAUUUUAGAAAAAAUCUCAAUAUAGUUUCAUAUUUUUUCGAGUCAAAACAAAUUUUCAAUGAACUUUUUAAGAUUAAACCAGGUUUUAUGAUUUUUAAUUGUAUUAAAUUUUCAAGUAAAAAUAUGUUUGGAUAUUUUUUGAACUUUUAGAUAGCUUCUAUAAAAAUAUUUCUAGUUCGAUUAUCUUACUUUCAACUUAGUCCUCCUUUAACAUGGUGCUACAUAGUAAAACUAUCAUUAAAACUGCUUAAGGUGCAAAAGUGAAUAGUUUUCAAUAAGGAGGGUUAAAAAAAUGGUUUUGUAGAUUUUUUUUAGGGGAACUGGUUUUGUACAUGAGAGAGGAAAAUAGGAUGGUAAAUUGUUUUUUUAAAGUACCGCAAGUACCUGAGCAUCGAUGAAGGCAGAAGGCUGGUGUAGACGUGUGGGUCACGGCUCUCGCUGCCGGGCCGCGUGGGCCGUCACGCCCGCCACCUUUCAGCCCAACAAGAAUAGAGAAAAGAAGGUACUCGUACUCGUGCCCCACCUGUCAGUUGGGAUCAUAAGAAGAAGAGUCUCGCCUCGCAGCUCCAACCAAAACCCCAGCUCCAUCCAUCCCACUCCCACCCCGCGCCGCCGCACUCCUCUACACACGCGCCGCCGCCGCCACCGCCACCACCACCACAGCGCGCAGGAAUCCCUGCCUAAUCCCUCGUUCUCGCAGACGGUUCCAGCCGUUCUAUGUAAGAGAAGAUGGCGCUGGCAAUCUCCAUGGAGGGCAUCGAUGCGCGGGCGCGGGAGCUCGGGGUGGACCUCUCCGCUGUCGAUCUGGACUCCAUCACCCUCCCGGCCGGCGAGGACUUCGGCAUCCUCAGGUAGACGGACGCGCCGCCUCACGUCGGGUCCCAAUCAGUGACAGGCACCAUCUUAGCGCGCUUAGUAUGUGGUGGCCUUGGUUGCCCUAAUUCUGCUUUUCCCAGAUGCGAGCGUCUACGGUGGUAUUUUGUAGGUUUCGUUCAAUAUAAGUAUGUUCUGUUGUAGUUUCCGACAGCAGCUGAUCUGUAGAGCAGAUUUGAGCGAUUUUUUUUUUUACUUCCGUCGGGAUUGACAGUCCUCUGUUCGGGUUGGACUGUACUAGCGUUUUGUGGUUGCGAAAGACGUUUUUAGAUUUUUGUGUUUUGUGGUGAGCGUCCAUCUGACGCCUAUGCAUACACUUAUUAGUCUGGCAAUACUAAAAGAAUCUGAUAUCCUAUAAAACCGUGUAGUGUUGAUUCCUGUUUACAGCUGCAAGCAUUUCUGCAGGUUUGUGCCAAAUUGUUGGUUGUCUCCUUUAAUAUGCUGUUAGUAUAUUAUGGCUACUCAUUUUGUGCAGUAAUUUUAGUUAACGAAAUUGUAGGCUAGCUAUGCAAAGGUUAAUCAGGUGCAGUAAUACCAAUCUUGCAUAGACAGUACCAUCGCUUGCCACCAUGAUGAGAAUAUCUUUAGUGCUCUGAGAGAUGCAUUUAGUAUGAACGACUUUCAUAUGACUUUCUGGGUUACAGUAUCCUUAAUUUGUUUUCAGAGUUGCUUAUUGCUAUUUGCUUAUAAUAUUCUUGCAAUUUGCAGUGAUGAUGAGGAGGUACUUCGUAGUGAGGAUCCUCCAGAACUUGAAAUGGGUUUAUCCAACAUUAUUGUCGUGGACAACCUGCCAGUUGUUCCUCCAGAAAAGUUUGAGAAGCUUGAGAAUGUCAUACGCAAGAUCUACAGCCAAAUUGGUGUGAUAAAAGAAAAUGGUCUAUGGAUGCCUGUAAACUCAGAGACAAAGAAGACAUAUGGCUACUGUUUCAUUGAGUAUAAUACCCCUCAGGUAGUUUACUUGUUGGUUGUGUUUUCUUAGUUCUUACUUACACAAUGAAACAAUGACCAAUGGCUUGAUUAUGUUAUCUUCUCAAUUCAUCACUGGCUGGCCGUUGCCACCAUUCUUGUAGUUUGAGUGAUGCCUUAGUGUUGGUCGUUCUAUCCAAACAUGCCAGCAUAUGCUUUUGGAAACAAAUAUCUAUGAAAAUGUUUUGAUAAUUUGAACUUCAUUAUUUGUAGUCCACCGUGUUUGCUUUUGCUUCCUUCAAUCAUUUUGAAUUCCAUUAAGUUAUGCAUCCUCAUGGAGAGUUGACGCAGAAAUAGGUCUCAAAUUGCCAUUUAGUUAAUAUGUUACUUUGUUUUUUUACCAGGAAGCUGAGCUGGCUAGGGAAAAAACCAAUGGGUACAAACUCGACAAGUCUCACAUCUUCGCAGUUAAUUUGCUUGAUGAUUUCGAGAAGUACAUGAAAGUUCCUGACACAUGGACCCCCGCUGAAAUUAAGCCAUACACUGCCGGAGUAAGUUUUUUUUUCCUUGUACUCCCUGGAUGGCUACUUCUGUUUAGUGCUCAAUUUUUUUGAAGCAGCUAAGUCUGUCGUGCAACACUGCUCAAUAUCUUUAAUAUCUUGAUACUGCAUCUCAGGAAAAUCUUCUGAAGUGGCUAACUGAUGAAAAGGCCCGAGACCAAUUUGUCAUUCGUGCUGGCACACUAACUGAAGUUUAUUGGAAUGAUGCAAGAAAGCUAGCACCUGAGCUUGUGUUUCAAAAGCAGGUACUUCAUUUUCUUACACUUGUUGCUACAAAGUUCAUGGUCUGCUAAGUUAGUUGAAUAAAAUCCAUAUAGGUACUUAUCCUUCUGUUUUACUCCAUUUUGUUCCCAGUACUGGACAGACAGUUUCAUCCAGUGGUCCCCUCUGGGAACGUACUUGGCAACGGUUCAUAGGCAGGGAUCACAGGUGUGGGGUGGUGAAAAUGGCUUCGAGCGUUUGAUGCGUUUUGCUCAUCCCAUGGUACUGGUUUUCACCAUGCUGAACUGUAUCCAAUGUUUGAAUGUUUAAUGUUCUAGCUGACAGUAGCGUGUAACAGGUGAAACUGAUUGACUUCUCUCCUGGCGAGAGAUAUUUGGUCACAUACAGCAGCCAUGAGCCCAGCAACCCUAGAGACACACAUGUAAGAUAUUGUCACAUUUAUACUCUUCUCGUUGCUUUUCUUUCUUCUUUUUUAUAAGAAAUAGCUUUUCCUUUCUGACUAACCACUAUUAAUCUUGUAGAGGGUUGUCCUGAAUAUCUUUGAUGUAAGGACUGGGAAGGUUAUGCGAGACUUUAAGGGAAGCGCCGAUGAUUAUACUACUGGUGGGAAUAUUGGGGUUUCUGGUGUUUCAUGGCCUAUUUUCAGGUGAAAGCACAAGUGCUUUGUUUGUCAAUUGCUGCAUAAAUGUUUUCUUAAGCUGUCCCAGUUGGAUGCUUACUAUAUUUUUACAUGUUCGAAGGUGGGGUGGUGGAAAGGACGACAAAUAUUUUGCAAGGCUUGGGAAGAAUAUAAUAUCUGUCUAUGAAACCAAUACAUUCUCCCUUCUUGAUAAAAAGUCUUUGAAGGUAGAAAAUGUAGUGGACUUCAGCUGGUCUCCCACUGAUCCUAUCAUCUCUCUGUUCGUGCCUGAAAUGGGUGGUGGAAAUCAGCCUGCGAGGGUGAGCAUAAAUUUGUGGAACAGAUACCUCUUAUAACAUGUUUAUUCAAUAUUUAAUGAUGAAGGCUAAAAUUGAUCUUUCUAUUGAAAGGUGAGUCUAGUGCAAAUCCCUGGCAAAGAGGAGCUGCGACAGAAAAAUCUUUUCAGUGUCAGUGAUUGCAAAAUGUAUUGGCAGAACAGUGGAGAAUAUCUUGCUGUUCAAGUUGAUAGAUACACAAAAACAAAAAAGAGCACCUACACUGGGUUUGAGCUGUUUAGAAUUAAGGAGAGGGAUAUCCCAAUUGAGGUCCUUGAACUUGAGAACAAGAAUGACAAGAUCAUUGCAUUUGCAUGGGAACCUAAAGGACAUCGCUUUGCUAUCAUUCAUGGUGAUGGCCCUAGGCCUGACGUUAGCUUCUACACCAUGCGAACAGCAAAUAACACUAACCGUGUGUCCAAGCUCACAACACUCAAGGCCAAGCAAGCUAAUGCUUUGUACUGGUCUCCUGCUGGGCGCUUCAUUGUUCUUGCUGGACUGAAGGGUUUCAACGGACAGCUGGAAUUCUACAAUGUUGAUGAACUAGAGACAAUGGCAACAGGAGAGCAUUUUAUGGCAACGGAUAUUAUGUGGGAUCCAACUGGGAGGUGAGCUAAUCACCGGUUUUAGAAAUUUCCUGAUUCCACUUAUUGACAUUGGUUUUACAUAAUAUAGCUAAAAAUACCCAAUCAAGUUCACACUUGCAGAUUACUCUCAUGUUAAUUCCAUGCACCUUUGUAUGCAUAAAGUUGUAUAUUCUAAAUUUUGGCCACACAUUUAGUAGUGAUACUGUGUCUUGGGUACCCAUAGUGCUAAUAAGUUAAAUGUACUGGAAUAAUUUGCAACUCUUUAUGUUCAGAUAUCUCGCGACUGCAGUUACCUCAGUUCAUGAAAUGGAGAAUGGCUUUCAAAUAUGGUCCUUUAAUGGCAAGCAUCUUUACAAGGUGUCAAAGGAUCAUUUCUAUCAGGUAAAUGUUGAAUCACUCUCCUUUUAGAUGCAGUUCAAUGAUAUACAAUUGUCUUAUGUGGUAAUGUAUCUUUUGCAUGGACUGAAUGGUACAGUUCAUAUGGCGCCCGAGACCACCCUCACUGCUAAGCCCUGAGAAGGAAGAAGAGAUCUCAAGGAACCUGAAGAAGUACAGCAAAAAGUACGAACAAGAGGACCAGGACGCGUUCAACCAGUUGAGCGAGCAGGACCGGAAGAGGCGGACACAGCUUCAGGAAGAAUGGGACUCAUGGGUUGCCAAGUGGAAGCAGAUGCAUGAGGAGGAGCGUGCUUUCAGGAUGGAGCUCAGGGAUGGGGAAGCCAGUGACGAGGAGGAAGAGUACGAGGCCAAGGAAGUUGAGGUAGAGGAAGUUGUUGAUGUCCGUCAGGAAGUUCUUGCAUUCGACCUAGAUCAGGAGUGAAAAGGCUUGUGAUAGAAUCUGGUUCUUUUUGUCGUGUUAAAGUUCACUAGGGUUGCAUUGCACAAUAGGCUCUAGUGAUCAAGUGCACAAUUUGCUGAUCAUUUUUCUGUUUUGUACACUUCUGCUUGAAUUGUCGGAUCAUGUAUUCAGAUAUCAAAUUUUGCUGCUGGAUUACUAAUCUGUCUGGUUCUGCAAAAUUGAGACACUGCAUUGACCAUCCAACUUCCACUUUCAUAUUCCCUGAUGAUUGAUUACGUGUGGAUUAUACAUUGCGGUCGAUUGCAAAGUUGGAUUUUGGUGGGGAUUUUAUCAGAAUCAGGUGACCCGGAAUGAUAGUAGGCUAUUCUUUCCAAUUCGAUUGUAUAGGCGGGGAUUAUACAUUGCAGUCGAUUGUAAGGGUGUUGCCGUGGUGGAUUUUUUUUUGUUUUCUGAAAAUAGAAUUAGUUUACACCACUAUCUCUUUAUGGGACAGGCCAAAAUUUGGUUUGGGCCGUGUUUAGUUUCUUGUGUGAAAAAUUUCGCAACACCGUAGCACUUUCGUUUGUUUGUGGUAAUUAUUGUCCAACCAUAGACUAACUAAACUUAAAAGAUUCGUCUUGUAAAUUUCGACCAAACUGUGUAAUUAGUUUUUAUUUUUGUCUAUAUUUAAUAUUCUAUACAUGGGUCUAAACAUUUGAUAUGAUGGAGAAUCUUAGAAAAUUUUGGGUGAAAGUAAACAGGCCCUUGGCUAGCUAGAGCCAACAGCCAGAGACAUGGACACAGGAGCUGGGCGCUGGCUUUCCUUCCGCACUGUCCAGCAAGGCCUUCAGUGCUCUCGCCUCUGACGUUGUCAUUCAGAUAUAACGGUCGAUACAUAUUAAGGAACAAUCCAUUCUUGUAAUUCAGAUGAACAUGCGUGGGAACGCCCAACAGAAGUGAAGCCAAGCCAAUCGAUCCUACUGCUCAUAUUGGAUCAACCAGCUUUUGUUUUGCAUCCGUCGAUGACUGGAACGAGCUCAAACAAAAACCACUCUUACUUUACAAGAUGUUUUGUACUCGGAUGCAACAGUAGAAUAAGCUAUGGAAACGCUAGGACGUAAAAUCGAAAGGUGUUACACAUCGUCUCAUUGUGCACAACACCUAAAUUUCCGUUUUAUUUCAAAAGAAGAACGUAAUGUACACAAGUACUGAAACAACAACCAAAUCUACAAACAGCUCAUGAAGGUGUAGCCUGUGUCUAAGCCUUGCCUCUUCUUCUGCUCACCUGAUUUUCGCUUUUCAGUGUAUGGUGGGGCACAAUGUUCUUACUUCUCUUCGUAUUCUACAUCAAUUACAUCAGGUUCUGAGCUUCGUGAACUUCUAGUGCCACCAGAUGAGCUGUUAUUUGGCUGCCAUACAAUGUUUUGGCAGUUCAUGCACCGAAUCACUUGGUUGCGGUAACCCACAAAACGCCUUUUGCAUGCUGGGCAUGUUCCCUGCAAAUGAAUCCUGCUCCAUCAGUAACUAGGAACAACUAGUAUGUUCAAUUGAAGAGUAGCCAUGUUGCAAUUGCAUUGCGUGAGUGUGAUAAUAGACCAUGGUGCAGAGAUGAUUAUUUCAACUAUCGAGAAGACUACAAAACACACCCAAACUACGCGUGUGCUGUGACUAUCAACAUUAUCAAACUAUAUGGACAUCCGAUGGCUAAUAAAAGUAGCCAAAUUGGAUUCAACUUGAACAGCUCUGUUUACAUGCCAGAGAAGUGGGGAUCCUGAUUAAAGUAUUGAUACGUUCGGAGGUAUGACAACUCUCGCCCCAUUAGUUAUCAGCAGAGACACAAUAGGCUAACGAAGUUUAAAGCAUGCAAAGUGCAAACCAAUGCAAGAUGGUUCAAGAAUUUCCCUAACACUUCUUAAGUAUGUAAAGCAUAAUCACACACACAGCCUUCUGCAAUGAGAGCUGAUGACUCCUUUGAAGUGAGUAAAGAAGUGCACAACAAUAACAGAUCAAAUUUAGAUGCGCUCUUACCUCAAUGGCAACCCUAUUAGCCAAGGGCCCAAGGAGAAGUGGGACAGCAAAUGGCAGCACAAACGUGCCAAAAAUGAAAAUUCUGAACAACCACCCUGACAGUGCAAGCCAUAGGAAAAAUAUUGUCUGCAUAAAAGAGAGAGCUAAAAAACAUCAGAUAUUGAAAAUGAUCUCCUACAGUUUGCAGAAGAAUCAUCAAAUGUUUAUCUACCAAACACAAUAUUUUUUUCUCAAAACAAAGCUGAACUAGAUAUUCUGAUUGUAGUAUAAGCAUAUUUUAGUUAAAGAAAUAUUCGACUAUAAGCUGGAGGAACAUGUGAACUCAGAAGGGCUAACAUCAAUGUUUAAGGAAAAUGGUUUACAAUUUUUUUUAUCAAGAAUACCACUGUUUUUCGCUUACAAAGCACAAAAUUAUGAAUUCAACAUCAGGAGCCCAUCAGUACCUAUUCCCUUGUGUCAUACUAAAACUCAUAGAAAUUACGAUCACAUUGCAAUUUACCUAGGCAUCUAAAUAUACAGAGAAAUUUAGGGCUCCCAGAGAUGGAUAGCAGUAACCCUCAGUCAGAUGAUAAGUACUAGGGUGUAAUUUCGUUGUCCACUUGUCAAUUGUCAUUGCUUGCAAAUAAACCGUGGUAACACUUAUUCAGUAGACUGCAUGAAGCCUACCAAUGAGACCACGGUACAAAGCAAAGGAGUAUGCAUCCGCAGAUGGGGAACAUGAAAUGAACUAGUUAGUAGUAGCACAUCGCCAAAACGCCACAACAUCCAAGCUAUGAUAUCUACGAUCAAUUAUAAGCACCCAAUUUGAGCUACGUUAGCAAGCCAAUCCGAGCGAACUUGAGCUAUCAAUCAACUUACAGCUAAUGCUCUCCCGAUGGGAGUUUCCAUGAAGUCAUUGAUCUCCCUCCGAUACUGUACAUGAGAAACCAAAUUAAGCAUAGAUUAUAGCGAGAACAAGUAUUAAACAGCAUGAAAUGGCGAGGGAGCGUAUAGAAUCCGAACCCUGGGCCAGUUGCGGGAGAAGUCGACGGAGAAGGAGCGCCACCGCCGCCCGAUGCCGAGCUCGGCGUCGAUCUCAACGGCGCGGGCGCGGGCGGCACGGGAGGCCUCCGCGAGCCUCCGGGAGAUCGAGAACCUGCCGUCCAGCCGCUUCGCGGCCUGCCGUGCCUCGAAGGCGAGGCGCUCGGCCCCCGCGUUGGCGCUCCGCCACGCGCGCCGUACGAAGCCAUCGAAGUCGCCGCCGAACGCGCGCGGGGAGACCACGGUCGCGGCUCGGCGCGGGAUCCGCCGUCGAGCGAGCGGGCGGGCAGUAGGAGGCCGAGCGGCUGCCCCAGCGGCUAGUGGGGCUGGUGGUAGUGGUGGAUGCCACCGCGCGAGCGUCGCCAUGCCGGCGCGUGCGAGAGAGUGCGAGGGGAAAAUCGCGAGAUUUUCUUGCGGAUGGGGUUGCUCGCUUCGUGGGCUGUGUGGGGCUACUGUUUGGGUUGGGCCUAGCCGCACGAAUCUGGGCUUCUCGUUUUCUGGGCGCCUGGUGCGUCCAUCCUGCACGAAAAGGAUGAUAUCAUUUUAUUGGUAUAUUUCCCUAUAAAAAAACUGAUUGGUAUAUGUUUCUAAAAAAAAUUGAUUGGUAUAUAAAGCCGUGGAUUCGUCAGGUUUAAUUUAAUAUACUUCUCCACAUUUCAGGUGUCUGAAUUUUAAGAUUAUUUCAGCAACACUCAUGUACCACCUCAAGUUAAUUAUUAUUUUUGUGAUUUGUGAUUUAUCUUUGUGUCAUAACAUAUAAUUUUUUUGGUCCUUGUCUGCCUAUAUAUAGAAAUAAUUGUAAGAUUUUAACUAUUUUUGUGCCAACACAAAUCAAAUUUUGUCACAUUUGUGGUAUAUCUAGCUGGUUUUUUUAUUCUUGAUAUCGAAAAUUACAAAUUGCACCUACAGAAAAUUACAAUGAACAAAAUCUACAAUUUUAAUAUAAAAAUAUAUGCAAUAACUGUCACCUGAAGACUAAAAUUCAGUCACUUGAAUUCUAGCAAGUCCCUAAUUUAACCUCAAGGGCUUUGUGGUGACAAAGCUUUUUAUCUCUGGUCUUCGGUCAAGUGGCGUCUCUAGAAAAGCACAGGAUGUUGAGAAAAAACGUGACUGCUAGCCUGCUAGGCACGCAAUUGCUUGGAAGCAUGACCAUUUGACUGUCAAAACAGCAUCUACCCUGGCAUCAUCUUUGGAAUGAGGUUCCCAAUUCAGUACGGUGGCAGACAAUUGAUAGAAAAAAAAAAAAGUACGGUGGCAGGCAGCACAGCACAGCAGAGCAGAGAGAGCGGCCAUCCGGCUGCCACUUGCUGCAGACAGGCGGAUGCCGGGAGCAGAGGAGCGGUCGUGGCGAGCGCCGAGCCACAGGCGCCCCCACCCAUCGUUGAACAGAAAGGAGAGCGGGAGCAAAACGACUCGUCAGUUUCUGCUCAUGCCGCUGGGCGGACGAAUCCAAUUCGGGCCUGGCAUGCUGUCGGCCUCCUUCCCUCGCCGCCUCCUCUCUACUGUUAUAUCACCUCCAGCGACCUCUUCACGCAGCACCAGUACCAGCGACAGCACCAGCAACAGCUGUGGGUUCAGCACAAGAGGGGCGAGGAAGACGCGCCGCUGCAUUUCUUGGACGACGAGCGCGGCUACUCCGGCGGACAUGGCGACCAACAGGUACGCGGCCGCUGAGACCCGCGUCUCUGUUCGUCUCCUGGCGACCUCUCUUGUUUGUUCGCCACUGAAACGCGGGACGCCGCUCAUCCGUUUCGCUCUUGUCUUGUGAACUCCGACGAAGCGGCAGCUCCCUGACGAAGCUGGCGCCGCUGGAAGCCAUCCUGUUCGACAUCGACGGCACGCUCUGCGACUCCGACCCCAUCCACUUCUGCGCCUUCCGAGAGCUCCUGCAGCAGGUGUGUAGAGUGAAUUCUUUCUUUCUUUCUCUGCAACGGCUCCGUACGUGUUUCUGUCUUUCACUUCUCAACUGUUAUGAUAUGUGUCUGAUCGAUCUAAACGUCUCUUGUCUGGCCGCAGAUCGGUUUCAACGACGGUGUUCCCAUCACCGAGGAGUUCUACAGUGCCACCAUUAGUGGGGGACACAACGACGACCUCGCUAGGGCGCUGUUCCCGGACAUGGAUCACCAGAAGGCGAUGCAGUUCAUGGAUGACAAAGAAGCUCUAUUCAGAAAGUAAGCCACUCAUCUUAUUUACCCUGUGCUAUACUUUGUACUACAUCGUAUAUGAACACUUAAUUUCAACUUGGACAUAUCAAUGAGAAUUGCGAUAGAAUUAGAAGUCUGGCGAUUGAGCAAAGCAAUCGAUGUACGUACUAUCCAAUUAUUUUCAGGUUCAGUUGCGUCAACAAUUUUAUCUGCUGCUUCACUUUUUCAGGUCUAGUUGUCCUAGAGGAAAUCUGGGUUUGUAAAUCUGAACCCAUAGGACAAAGUACUGCAAGAUACUAUCGUCUUACAAUCCCAAAAUUGCCAAAUUUUUGUACUAAAAGACAUCAAUGCUGAUGUUUCUCUUCACUACUACUGCACAAAUGACCGAACAUAAUCGUGUCAACGCAAACAUAAACUGCCAUCGUGUGCCACUACCUCGAUGCUUGCUGAACACUGACCUGAAGCUGAAAAACUUACACAAACAGGUUGGCACCAGGACAGCUGAAGGCCCUGGAUGGACUGCACGAGCUGUGCCGAUGGAUCGAGGGCCGCAACCUGAAGCGCGCGGCGGUGACCAACGCUCCGAGGGCGAACGCCGAGCUGAUGCUGUCGCUGCUGGGGCUCACCGACUUCUUCCCGGUGCUCGUCAUCGGGAGCGAGUGCGACCGGGCCAAGCCGUUCCCUGACACCUACCUCAAGGCCCUCCAGCUCAUCGACGCAUCGCCUGAACACACCUUCAUAUUCGAAGUAUGGAUGAAUGCUGUCUCUCUCAGUCUCGCCGUAAUUCUCUGAAGCUUUGUUUUUUCGUCAUCACUGGUCGAAACAGUCAGUAAUUAACCAAUGGUAGUGCUGCGUUCGUGCAUGUGCAUUUCGCUCGUUCUUCUAAGGACUCUGCAUCGGGGGUCCGAGCUGGUGUCGCUGCUGGAGUGCCUGUGGUUGGCCUGACGACGAGGAACCCUGGGAUGGUGCUGAAAGACGCAGGAGCCAGCUUGCUGGCCAAAGAUUUUCAGGACCCAGAGCUGCUGUCCGUGCUUCAAGAGAUCGAACCUGCAGCGGCGAAUGCGUGAGGCUGAUCGGUCAUUGCAGACACACACUAACAAAUGGGAUGCUGGACUGGUGAUCAGCUCUUCAUUUACGGAGUGGAAUAGCUAUACAAUCACACUAUAGAAUAACUACCUCAGGUUCCCCGGCUGGACCUGGAGGUGAGCAUGGAUCAGUGCAAAACCCAGUGCCUACUGCAGUGGUUCUUGCUCCCAAGUCCCAAGUGUCUUCAGCAUAUGUGGCGACCAAUUUUUAUUCUAAUGCAUAUUUAUUUAGUAAAGGAUUUUAUUAUGUCACUUAGGUUAAGGAGGCUUCCAUGUGCCUAAUAACAGUAAUAAUGCCCUAUUGGAGCAUGAAAUUGUUGCUUGAGGAAAUCUGGAAACUCUGUUUCAUUCAGAUCAGAGUCGUAAUGUCCUUAUUCACAUUUUGGUACAUUUUCUCUCUAUAUAUAUAGAAAAAAGGGAUGUACAUAUGUUUAUGGAGUUCUUUCCUCUGCUGUGGUGGAUUGCGGCAGGAUAAAUUUUCAGUCUGUCCAUGUACCCUGCGUGUCGGACUGAAAUAAAACAGAUGCCUAUGGCAUUUGGUGUUGUUUGGUUCAUUUGGAGGAGCAUCUUAAUGCAAAUGGAUGACACUGCUAUCGGUUACGAUUUAAUGGAAAACUUAGGGGCUAUUUAGUUCCUAUGAAAUGUAAAAUACAAAAUAUUAACUACUUUGAAAUGAUGAAAUGCAAAAUGCCAAAAUUUUCAAGGUUAUGUUUAGUUUUAUCCAAAAUCUAGAGUUUAUUGCCCUCAUUAUGGCCUCUUGAGGUUCUUUUGGGCUUUUUUUGGCCUCUUGAGGCUAAAAUCUAAAAUAGAGAAUGACAAUUAUUUUGCCAAAAAAAUUGCAUGAUAUUUAGUUUCAUUAUGCAAAAUGAACACCAAGAGGCAGACGGUAUCAUGCUUCCGAAGGCUUGUACCCGAACUUGAUACCGCGCCAACGGAUUACAACCAAACUAAACGGGAAGUAAUGUGAUCUAGUUUCGCUAUAAACCGAUAAUGGCAAAAAGCGUGAACCAAACACGUUAGUUUCAUUUUUGUUUUCGUAUUGUAAAAUUCUGCUAGUUUCUCUUUUAUUCUUGAAUUGUAAAAUUCUGCGUAUGUACUCCUCAUGCAGGGCUGUAUUCCUUUGCAAUAUGAUUUUACACAUAAUGAGUUCCUUUUUUCCUCUCAAAUAUGUAGGCUAGCCAGUAAGCACAUAAACAGAUUGAAUAGACCAAAAGAAGGUGAAUUGGUCUUAAAAAUUAUAGCAACAAAUUUUAACUGCUACUUCACCUCAACUGCCAUAGUACCAUAUGAACUAAACAAACCCACUAACGAAGUUUUUAGGACCGUCACGCUCACACUAAGACAUGUCGGUAGCAAAGAUCACACUAGAAAUAGCACCCUUAAUUUGCAAGAAUGAGAACGUAUCAACUACAGAGCACACUAGCACAACAUCAAUCCUAGGUUGCCACAAAUAUUUUAAGCACACAAGAACAAGUAUGAAAUGCAAGAAGUAAGCAGGGUACAUGACUAGAAGUUUUCUUUUGGGUACAUGACUAGAAGUUUUCUUUUCGUGGUCUCAAGGUGUUUCCAUACCCCCUAGUCUACAUUGGAGCACUCGCUAAGGGUAUUGUAAGUGCAUUAAGCCACUUAAUGUGUUUUGGAUGAUUGAAUGACCACCAUGAUUAAAGGAACUAAUGAUCUUGCUAAGUGUGAAACAGGGAAAAGCUAUCUCACAGUUAUGAGAUCCAAGUUUACAAAAGCCAAAAUUAUGUAUUGUUGUAUGGAGCAAUCUAGUUCAAGCACAAAACAACAAUGCAAAUGGAAUUAUUGAAAGAGGCUUCUUUAUUGUGAAGAUAGCUAUCACUCAUAUGAAAGUAAAAAUGAAAAGUAUAAAAUUGAUUGGAUGAUUCAAAGCAACAUAUGACUUGAAGACUUGAGAUGGUGAAGAUAGCAAGGAAAGGCUUCGAGGUACUAAGCAAGGGUUUAGGGCAAGCGACGGCUUGACGACCGAAAAACCUAGCUCGGGUGAAGAAGGAAUUACUUGCAUUUAGUUGAUGGAAAUGACUUGGUACAUUUGGAGUCAAUUCUAUCUAUUGAUUGAAACCAAGUCAUGUGCUCAAGAUGGCUAUGCUCAAGAUGAAAACGAGUUUGGCAUGAUGACAUCCUCAGCUUAUCAAGAAUUGAAAGAAAGGCUUUGGUUUGAUGGAAGCUUCUCUAGUGGUUUAAAUUUGAUUUAUCUUUUGAUCUUGAGUUGAUAAGAAAGCCGUACUAUUAAGAGGGAUGCAUCAUGAUCAUGGAUUAAUACUCUCUAGUGCUCAAGUCAACCCUUGUGAGGUCUUAGAGAAACUAACCUGAGAGCUGAACUCAAUGUGCACAGGUCGCGCAUACCGGACGCGUCCGGUAUGAGUACUGUUGCGCAUACUGACUUUUUGAGUUGCGGUGUCCAGGGAGUUGUUCUAGUGCGCGUCGGCACUUCCGGUGCUCGUCAGUAGUGCUGACUUGUCGGAAGUUCCGACGUAGGCUUCACCGUGGUAGGGAGUAGCAAGCUAACAGGGGUAAGUCUUUUGGCCUCGAUCAUAUCGGACGUGUCCGGUAUGAUACCGGACGCGUCCGGUAUGGCCAACGGCUAGUUAACGGCUAGUUUUGAAAACUGUCUUUAAAUACCCCUCAGCCCUCCUCCUUGAGGGCUGCUGAUUCUACUGGCUUGGAGACACUUUGUUGAGCUUUGCUAACUCUCCACAACCCUCUCUUUGUGAGUGUUUGGUCUAGAUUGACAAAUCCAACUUGUGGGUUGAAAGUUCUUCGGUUUUGAGAGCAAGCCACCUCUUGAGCACUUGAGCAUAUUGUCUAUCUCGUGAUUUGCAUUUGUUACUCUUGGACUCUUCGGUCCUAGACGGUUAGGCGUCGCCGGAGAGCACCCAAGUGUUUGUGGUUGCCUCGGAUUGUUUGUGCAGGUCGAAUUUCACCUCCGCAAGGGAAGAAAUCAACUAGUGGAAGGAGGAGUUGGAGUUGGAAGAGACUCCGGCUAGAGUUACCUUCGCGGUAUCCUCUAGGGAGGACCUUUGAGCUAGAGUGACCUUAGUGGUAUCCUCUAGGUCAUCGAGUGCCUUACCCGUAGCCCCCUCAACGGAGAUUAGGUCUCUACGGAGACCGAACUUCGGUAAAACAAAUUUUGUGUCUCCCUUUGCAUUACUUUUAAAAUUUGUGUCUUAUUCUUUGUGUGAGCUUCUCUGCAGGGUUCAAGUUUCAUAUAUACUAUGAUUGAGGUUUUUGCUGGGAAAGGAAGAAGUUUCACAGCACAAGGAUUGAAUAUCCUCUACUCGUGAAUUCCGGACGCGUCCGAGAUUAAGCCAGACGUGUCCGAGUUGUGCCAGCACAGCAGAAUAUAUUUAAUUUGUAUUAUCUGUGUUGGAUACCUUCUUGCAGGGUAUUGUAUAUCUUUACUUCAUCAUACAAGCUGUGUGUAGGUUUAGGAGAAGCUGGAGAACAGAAACAGCUAAGUGUUGUGUGUUCGUGUAUCUCGGACGUGUCCGAGUUGAUACCGGACGCGUCCGGUAUUUGCGAGUUGUCAAGAAUAUUUCUUUAUGCGAUCUAAUCUCUGUGGUGGAGGUGUUAGACUUAUUUAAUAUUAUUUACAACUGUUUCUCUGAUUAUCUUUGUGUGGAGUUUUUCAUUUGCUUAGAAAACUCCAGUUCUAAUCGUUUCCGCAUUUUAAGUUGUAAAUUUUCAGAAACGCCUAUUCACCCCCCCUCUAGGCGCAUCCUUGGUCCUUUCAAUUGGUAUCGGAGCAAGGUCUCACGAUCGAGCUUCACCGCUUGUGAGAAAAGGAUGUCGACGCCUAAUGACAUGGAUCCCAUACUUCUCCAAAAUGAUGGUUCAAACUUUCUAUCUUGGUCAAUUCAUGUACUCAAUAUUUUUCGAACUAUAAGUCCACUUGUAGAGCAGAUUGUGGAUGCAAGUAUAUCUCAUUCCAUAGUUGAUUGGUUUAGUUAUAAGAACAUUCCAAAAGAGGAAGAGAUAUAUGUGCAACUCAAUGCUCUAGCUACUAAUAUCAUUUUGAGUACAUUAAGUGUAGAGGUUCAGGAUGAAGCAAUUUUCAAUGGACAAACUCUUCCAUCAAGUGCUCAUGUCAUUUGGAUCAAAUUGUAUGAGUUAUAUGGUAAACCCAAUGACAAUGAGUGCUAUGUGUGGAAAACAAAGGAUAAUAUGUCCACUAUACUUCACUGCAAUGAAGAAACAUCCAGCAACCUCAAGAGUGCAGAGCCGAAGCUGAUCAAUGCAAAAGCUGCUGUGCUGGCAGUGCAGCACAUACCGGACGUGUCUGAUAUGAUACCGGACGUGUCCGGUAUGGCUGUGGCAGCAGGACAGCAAGCAGAUCAAUGCAGCAGUAAUGCACCUCAGUGGAGACCAAAUGAUGAGUCAACAAUAUAAUCCCAUGACUCUCAUCACUUGUGUCUCAUGGCCAAGAAGAGCAAGAAGAAGAAGAAGAAAGAAACAAAGCAAAAGAAGGCUCAAGAGGAUGAUCAAAGAGAAAGUGAAAAUGAAGAUAGUCACAUGCUUGAUCAUCUUAGCAGCAAGGACAAGCUCAUGUUCAUGAAACUGAUAAAUGAGGAACAAGAUCAAAAAUUUCAUGAUCAAGACAAGUCCCUCAUAUCCAAGCUUGAAGAGUUAAAGGAAAUGAAUGAGAGGUAUGAAAAAUUGUCAAUUGAGCAUGAUUUUGUUACUAAUGCUCUUUCUAGUGUUGUUCAACUAGAAAAGGAAAAUUUCGAGCUCAAUAAAAGGCUUGACAAGAUUUCAUGCAACUUCAACACUCUUCAAGUUGUGCAUGAGCAACUCAAAUGUUCACAUGAAAGCCUAGUAGAAUCACAUGCCAUGCUUGAGAUAGCACAUGAGGUUGUUGUUACAAUGGUAAAAUCCUCUCAACCUCACACUCACCCACUCACUAGCACUCCCUCUAAAUUAAAUAUUUCUUGUGCUAAUGAGUGUGCUUCUCAAGCUAGCCAAUCUUUGAUUGAGCAUGAUCCUAUGGAAAACCUUAGGCUCAAAGAAGAAGUAGAAAAAUUAAAGAAAUAUGUGAUUAGGUUGAAGGGUAAGGAGAAAGCACAACCUUCUCAAGAUAACCGUGAAAACAUGGUGAAGAAGCUUGAGAAGGGUUCAAAUCUUGCUUCCUCCAACAUACAACAAACUAACCACAUCACAAGCAAAGAAAUGUCAACCAAGAGCAAGAAACAUGGUAAAAGGUUAUGCUAUGGUUGUGGGGCAUAUGGGCACAUGAGAGAUAUGUGUCCAAACAAGAGUUGGGCCAACAAGUGUGAAGUGGCCGAGAAAAAGGCCUCUAGCAAGUUGGCAAACCAACUCAAGAUGGAUGAACCUAAAGCUAGCAUCAAGUGCAACAAAGUAAGCCACUUGAGCAAUACUUGCAAGGAUUUCAAGAGGACAAGAAACAAGGCUCAAGUUGCAACAAGAAGAUGCUAUGCAUGCAAUGAGGUUGGACACAUGAUAUAUGAGUGUCACAACAAACAAAACAAGGAUUGUAGCAACAAAGGCCGCAUUUGCUACAAUUGUAGAAGAAAGGGACAUCUAAGCUAUGAUUGUCCCAUAGGUAACAUGCCUAAGCCAAAUGCAUAUGUUUUCAAUGAUAAGCUUAGAAGGACCACAAAUGGAUCUAGUACUAGCCAAGCAAGGUAUUCACCACAUGCUAGCACUAGAGCCACUUGGGUGCCUAAGCACAUUGCUACUAACUCUAUAGGACCCAACAAGAGUUGGGUACCAAAGUGUGCCUAAGCUGUGAUUGUAGGUACUUGGUGAAGAUGAAGGCUUUGGGGUGGUUGAGAAAGCAUACCAUGUAUUUACAUUUGACAUGCUCAACCUAUCAACUUGUUUAUCAAUCUCCCAUAUGUAGUUGACCCAAAGCAAACUAAAUUGUCGUAUCAUUCACUUCAUCGUCAUCGUCGGUGAGAAGUACCUAAACCAAUUAGUUUAGUCAUUCAUGCUUAAUAUUUCACAAAUAGCAAUAUUUGUGAUAUUUGAGAAAGUGACUAAGUAUUUUUGACCACAUACUUACUUGACAUUCGAUGCCAUUAAUGUCUCUCUAGUAGAGAAAUAUUUUCACCUAUGUGCAGGUCAAUUCAAAGGAAAAAGGAAUGGCUAGAAAACGAAAUGUUUAGUUUCUGUCCUGAGCAUGUUGGACGUGUCCGACAUAGGGCCGGACGUGUCCGGUUUUCUCGGGGCAGAAAUUUUCUGAUGAGAAGCCCAUGAAAAGACAUGAGCUAGAAUCACUUUAGUAUUUAACCAUUAACAGUGGUCCAGGACUAGCUCUACUGCCCAAAAGAUCUUUUAUUGCAGGGGUGUGGGACAUCUCGGACGUGUCCGACAUUAUCUCGGACGUGUCCGAAAUGCACGUGACCAUACUUCAGAUUACACUGAGUGGUAUUCAUAGGGGCUCAAGGCUAAGGUAUGAUUUCAUAUGAGCAUUGUAAGUGCAUGUAAGGUACUUAUGCUAGAAUGUGCAUUUGAUUGACUUAAGAUAGAAUCUUUUCAAAAUCUCUAAUAGCAUGAGUAGGCUGAGUGGUUUGUGAAAACAAUUGAUUCUUGGUCUUUGUGACCUAAUCAUGCUAAGUGUGGUUAUUGUUCUCCUUGGUUGAUUGACUGCCUAAUCACACUCGGCAUGAUUCUCUCAAGUCCUAAGUCACUCUUUUAUCUCUUCCUCACAUCUCUAAGACAUCAUAAGACUCAUGGACAUAAGACUGAGGAAAGAAUUCUUGAAGAAAUUUCAAAAAGAGAUUUGAAAUAGUUUGGAGUACAAAUUGUAAAAGAAAGAGAUGAGAAAUGAUUGGAUUAAGUAUAUAUGUGUUUGGACUCAGUGUCAAUAUAGAAGGGGUCUUGGAUCAAGAAAAAUAAGAAAUUCAGCAAACUAUUUAGAGCCCGAGCAUCUCGGACGCGUCCGGCCUCAUCUCGGACACGUCCGGUAUGCGCGGGGUUAAAGAAGCAGUGUAUCCCUUCAGACCUGUUCUCUCUCCAUUCCCCUUUCUCCCUCCCAACUGCACAUUGCCACUUCUCUCUCAUCUCCUCGGCGAUUUCGUGAGUUGUCCGUGGAAAAGGAAGGGAGGAAGGUGGAUUGGAGUCUCCGAGCAUCAAGAAUCAAGGAUCUGCAGCAAGAAAUUGAAGGCUCAAUUUUUCCUCCACUCUCACGGUAUUCAAAUCUCGGACUCCUUCCGAUCUAUUGGAUAGAGCUUUAUUUCCAAAUCCCUUUGGUGAAGAUGCUACAUUCCUUGUCUAAAAGCUGUGUCCAAAGUUUGGAUUGAAUUGGUUGAGUUUAGGAGUUGGAACCCUAGGAUGGGGCUGCUGCGUCCAAGUCGGACGCGUCCGACCUCAUACCGGACGCGUCCGGUAUGGAUCAGCAGAGCAGCACCUGCUGCUUUCUUACUUCAGACUUUUUCCCUAUUGUCUUAGAUGAUCUCAAUGAUUAUUGUAGAUGCUUUGUGAACCUAUUUGGCAUUGAAUUGUGUCUAGGUGAUUACAAAUUCAUCGAAUGAUUAUUGUUUCAUCUUAUGGCAAUAUGAGAGGCACUUUUGGACAUGGCCCUAAAUGCUUAAAUAUCUCCUUGGUGUUUAUGGAUUCAGGGGGAGAUCAUGACUAGAGACGGACGGAUUGAGCCACGAGCUAAGCACAAGAAUGAUCCCACUGCCAUGAGGCACUACAAAAGAACAAGGGAAGCUAGGAGAGCAGCUGGCAGCGGUAGUGGCAGUGGCAGUGGAGGUGGGAGGAGGAAAUCUGGCAGGCUUACAGAUAGAGCACCAGCUGAUUAUGCAGAAGGUAGUGAUGAUGAUGAUGAUUCUUCAUCUGCUUCAGAGUCAGAUCAGUUCAGAGUUGAGGCCAGAGGUGAGAUUGAGUCUGGACAUGAGUCAGGCAAUGGUCAAGGGUCUGAGGAUAGUGAUGAAGACCAUGUGCAGGCCCAGAAUGUACCACCAGCACAGCAGCCAGGACAGGGAGGCGGACGUCACUUGGGGCAUCCUAGAGUCUAUGCUCCUAAUGUGCUAGAUUUUGUGCAGAGAGCAAAUUACAAGGGCACAGGGAUGACAAAGAGAGUGAAGACUCUUAGGAGUGAGGAUCCCAGUACUCACCAGCAGGUGAUGUAUGACUACAGGUUUCGCACUCUGUUUCAGAUUGAUUUCUACACCACUGUUAUUUUGACUAGAAAUCCUGUGGUCAUCAAGUCUCAGUGGGCUAAGUGGAAGGAGUUGAAGGCUCACAAGAAGCCUUCACUUGAUAGAGCUGUUGAUAUUUGUGCACGGAUUGGUGCUAGUGAGAUCAUGUCCUUCAAGCAUGAUUGGAACACAGAGAUAGUGGCUCAGUUCUAUGCCACUUUGCAUGUUGAUUCAGAUAGGGUAAUGCACUGGAUGAUAGCUGGCGAGUGUUUCAGUGUUGAGUAUGCAGCCUUUACUGGAUAUCUUGGUUUUGAUGAGGAGGACCUUGCCAGAGACAAGAUUCAUGAUGAGAUAGUGACACCUCCAGAGAGGAUGGGUCAGCUAUACAUUCCAGGGUUUAGAGGAGCAAUUGUGGGGAAGGUGAAAGGUCUUUUCCCCACAUACAGAUACUUGGACAGGAUGUUCAGGAAGACCAUUGCCUGCAAGGUUGGAGACAAGGGCAAUGUUGGAGAUUAUAGCAGAAAUCUCUUGAUGAGGAUGUUGCCUGAUGCUAGACCAUUCAGUGUGUUUGAUUUCAUUUGGAAUGAGAUCAAGUCAGUAGGUGAGAGACCAGUCAAGGGAUGUGGCUAUGCACCAUACAUCACUUAUAUGAUUCGACAGGUGACAGGCUACUCCUUUGAGUAUGACAAGCAGCACAAGGUUAUGAAGAUUGCUGCUGACUUGGCUGAGAUUGAUUGGUCACCUCCAGGAGCAGCAGCAGGAGGAGGUUCAGCAGCACACCCUACUCCACCUCGUGGUCCUUCCCGGUCUUCUUCACGUGGCCGUGCCCCUCUUCUCCCAUUAGGAAGUUUUUCAGUGCUAUAUUUGGGAUGUGCAAGGACAUGAAUGCAAUCAAGACUAGACAACACCAUGAGAGAGAAGCAAGGAGGAAGGAUACUCGUACUCUCAAGGAGCUUGCACAGAAGAAUGAGCUUCCUACUCCGAGGUCUCCUAUUUCUGACAGUGCUGCUAGUGAGCCUGAGACUUUUGAGCAGCAGUAGGAUAGAUAUGAGAGAGAGUUUCAGCAGGAGUUUGGUGGAUACUCUCAGUCACAGCCAGUUCCACCACAGGUACAGCAGGGUCAGACAGACCAGGGCGAGCAGCCUGAGGCGCCCUUGCAGUAGCAGUCACAGGAGCACUGGUGGGACAGUUUUCUUUACUUUGGUGAGUCUGGCUACGGUGGUGCAGGGACCUCUAGUGGCUUUGGUGGAUAUGGCCAUCUAGGUGACCCAGGACAGAGUGGUUCUCGCCCACCAGGUACUUCUCGCUCUCCAGAUCAGAGGUAUGAUGAUGAUGAUGAUGAUAAUGAUGACGACGAGUGAGAGACAGCCGGUUACAGCUUGCAGCCCUCCUAUGUCAUAUGCUUGUUCCUGUACACUUUUUGGAGAUGGAUGACAAAGGGGGAGAGAUAUUGAUUAAAGCUUCAGAUGUUCUUCAUGGUUGGCAUAUUCUGAGAUAUGUACUGCAGCUGUAGUGUCUAUGAUGAGCUUUUUGAUGUAUCAUGAGACUUGUUAUAUUAUCAUGAGACUUGUUAUAUCAUCUUGUAUCAUGUUGAGUCUAUGUGAGAUGUUGAAUAAGACAUGAUCUUUAUCUUAGUGACUUGUGGACUUGGGAAAUCUAUGUGAUGUUUGCUAUGUGUGUUGGUUAUAUUUUUUUUAGAUUUCUAUUUUUGCAAGUGUGUUGCCAUGACAUGUGUUUGUGUAUGUUUCAUAUUUAUUCUUGUGUGAUUUAUACAUGUCAUGUGCAUCACGGUUAUAUUGUUCACACUCACUUGCGCUGGAUGCAAUGAUUUAGGGGGAGCUUGACACUCACUUAAAAUGUGCAAAUUGACCUUUAUAGGUCUCAUUAUGAAUUCCACUCAUAUUGCACAUAUUAAGGGGGAGCUUCAAAUAAAUCAUUAAACCCAAGAGCUUAAUUUUAUUAUCUUUUGUAAGCUUUAAUCAAGGUUGUCAUCAAUCACCAAAAAGGGGGAGAUUGUAAGUGCAUUAAGCCACUUAAUGUGUUUUGGAUGAUUGAAUGACCACCAUGAUUAAAGGAACUAAUGAUCUUGCUAAGUGUGAAACAGGGAAAAGCUAUCUCACAGUUAUGAGAUCCAAGUUUACAAAAGCCAAAAUUAUGUAUUGUUGUAUGGAGCAAUCUAGUUCAAGCACAAAACAAUAAUGCAAAUGGAAUUAUUGAAAGAGGCUUCUUUAUUGUGAAGAUAGCUAUCACUCAUAUGAAAGUAAAAAUGAAAAGUAUAAAAUUGAUUGGAUGAUUCAAAGCAACAUAUGACUUGAAGACUUGAGAUGGUGAAGAUAGCAAGGAAAGGCUUCGAGGUACUAAGCAAGGGUUUAGGGCAAGCGACGGCUUGACGACCGAAAAACCUAGCUCGGGUGAAGAAGGAAUUACUUGCAUUUAGUUGAGGUACUAAUCAAGCUCUAAGGGUCAUGUUGAUGUGGAGGAUCAAAUCUACUAUUGAAGUAGUUGAUGGAAAUGACUUGGUACAUUUGGAGUCAAUUCUAUCUAUUGAUUGAAACCAAGUCAUGUGCUCAAGAUGGCUAUGCUCAAGAUGAAAACGAGUUUGGCAUGAUGACAUCCUCAGCUUAUCAAGAUUUGAAAGAAAGGCUUUGGUUUGAUGGAAGCUUCUCUAGUGGUUUAAAUUUGAUUUAUCUUUUGAUCUUGAGUUGAUAAGAAAGCCGUACUAUUAAGAGGGAUGCAUCAUGAUCAUGGAUUAAUACUCUCUAGUGCUCAAGUCAACCCUUGUGAGGUCUUAGAGAAACUAACCUGAGAGCUGAACUCAAUGUGCACAGGUCGCGCAUACCGGACGCGUCCGGUAUGAGUACUGUUGCGCAUACUGACUUUUUGAGUUGCGGUGUCCAGGGAGUUGUUCUAGUGCGCGUCGGCACUUCCGGUGCUCGUCAGUAGUGCUGACUUGUCGGAAGUUCCGACGUACGUCGGGAGUUCCGACGUAGGCUUCACCGUGGUAGGGAGUAGCAAGCUAACAGGGGUAAGUCUUUUGGCCUCGAUCAUAUCGGACGUGUCCGGUAUGAUACCGGACGCGUCCGGUAUGGCCAACGGCUAGUUUUGAAAACUGUCUUUAAAUACCCCUCAGCCCUCCUCCUUGAGGGCUGCUGAUUCUACUGGCUUGGAGACACUUUGUUGAGCUUUGCUAACUCUCCACAACCCUCUCUUUGUGAGUGUUUGGUCUAGAUUGACAAAUCCAACUUGUGGGUUGAAAGUUCUUCAGUUUUGAGAGCAAGCCACCUCUUGAGCUCUUGAGCAUAUUGUCUAUCUCGUGAUUUGCAUUUGUUACUCUUGGACUCUUCGGUCCUAGACGGUUAGGCGUCGCCGGAGAGCACCCAAGUGUUUGUGGUUGCCUCGGAUUGUUUGUGCAGAUCGGAUUUCACCUCCGCAAGGGAAGAAAUCAACUAGUGGAAGGAGGAGUUGGAGUUGGAAGAGACUCCGGCUAGAGUUACCUUCGCGGUAUCCUCUAGGGAGGACCUUUGAGCUAGAGUGACCUUAGUGGUAUCCUCUAGGUCAUCGAGUGCCUUACCCGUAGCCCCCUCAAUGGAGAUUAGGUCUCUACGGAGACCGAACUUCGGUAAAACAAAUUUUGUGUCUCCUUUUGCAUUACUUUUAAAAUUUGUGUCUUAUUCUUUGUGUGAGCUUCUCUGCAGGGUUCAAGUUUCAUAUAUACUGUGAUUGAGGUUUUUGCUGGGAAAGGAAGAAGUUUCACAGCACAAGGAUUGAAUAUCCUCUGCUCGUGAAUUCCGGACGUGUCCGAGUUGUGCCAGCACAGCAGAAUAUAUUUAAUUUGUAUUAUCUGUGUUGGAUACCUUCUUGCAGGACGUGUCCGAGUUGUGCCAGCACAGCAGAAUAUAUUUAAUUUGUAUUAUCUGUGUUGGAUACCUUCUUGCAGGGUAUUGUAUAUCUUUACUUCAUCAUACAAGCUGUGUGUAGGUUUAGGAGAAGCUGGAGAACAGAAACAGCUAAGUGUUGUGUGUUCGUGUAUCUCGGACGUGUCCGAGUUGAUACCGGACGCGUCCGGUAUUUGCGAGUUGUCAAGAAUAUUUCUUUAUGCGAUCUAAUCUCUGUGGUGCAGGUGUUAGACUUAUUUAAUAUUAUUUACAACUGUUUCUCUGAUUAUCUUUGUGUGGAUUUUUUCAUUUGCUUGGAAAACUCCAGUUCUAAUCGUUUCCGCAUUUUAAGUUGUAAAUUUUCAGAAACGCCUAUUCACCCCCCCUCUAGGCGCAUCCUUGGUCCUUUCAGGUAUCAACUAAGACUACAUGUUCUCCACUCUAAAUUGACGGUUCUCAAACCAAGUACAAAUUACUUGGACCUCCUAACUAUCUCCUCAAUGGAAGUUCACCAAUUUCACCAACUCAAAGUUGUAUACGUGUUGACAAACACCAAGAGCAACAAAGUAUUGAUCUUCACUUGACCAAAAUCUUAGCUAAGAGCUCCAAGAGAUGCAUGCUUGCUACUCACAACACUAGCAAAUCUUUAGUCUUCAAAUGAUCACUUACUAAUAUUCUCUAACACUUCCUAAAUCUCUAAGAUCUGUAUCAUUGGUUGUGUAAUAGAUAUCAUCAGAUGAACCAGUGAGUGCCCAAGUCCGUCAGAUCAUACAGUGAGCAUUGACACCUAACAACUCCCAACAAUAACAAUACCACAUAGCAUCAUUAGAUGAUCCACUGCAUGAUAUAGAGUCAAUGCUAGAUCAUCCUAUGAAUGACAUAGUCAUGCCCAAUCUCUGUGGAUGACAUGACCCGCAUGUGCCAUCAUGGAUGACAUAUCCACCCUCUAGAUAUAGGGUGGACCAAGCCGACAACUCAGAGAAUCUGAAGGGGGUCAUCAUCUACUUGCUACACAAGAUAUGCUCAUAACAACACAAGGUUCAGUUGUAACCAGUUAGAAAACAUAUUUGUAAACUCGAUCACAAGCAGCAUCAAUGUUGCAAUCAUAACCCUCAGCUAUAUAAGGCGGGUACAUAUAGGGAGGUCCCCUAAUCGGUAUCUCAUCAUCUUCUCACAUAUGAUUCCACAAAGCAAUAUAAACAAAAAACGCGAGACUUAGAGUAUUACCUCAUGAGGUCCCAAACCUUUAUACACUUUUUGUGUCCCAUGUGCAUGCUACCAUCUAGUUUCUCCUGCCAUACGAUGCCCCAAUUAUUGUCAGUGACAAAAACAUCAACAUUAUUCAUUAACAUAAUAGCACAUGACGAUAUGCUAAGGCACCAAGCUCAACAAUAAAUCAUCCUCAAUUAUUCUUCAACAUGAUUUUGCAUGGUGUCACUGGAUAAUUAGUUAGCAUAAAACUACCAUCACCUAAUCAUAUAGUGAUCAACAUAACCAUAACACAAUAUCUUUGUUGAUGCAUGGUUAGAACUUUGAAUCCAUUUGGACUUUGAACUCAUCCAAUUCUAUUCCUUUGAGUUCCCAAAUGAAUUGUCAUCUUUCCAAGGUCUUGAGCUACCUAGUCCAAGCUUUUACGUGUGUUUAUCACUCUAGCACACUUAGCCAAUAAGUCUUAGGUCAAUGGCCCUGGUAUUAGCCCAUUUUAUAGUAUGUCCAAAGGAAAACAAAAACCCUAUUCUACUUCCAAGUGCAUCCCAACACCAACACCUAAUGCCACUUUAAACUAUAGAAUCCUUCACAGAUAUCAUCGCGAACAAAUACUUUGAAUCCAUAACCAGGGCCAAGAAAACGUGCGGUGGAAAUUAUGACCAAUUUAAAGUAAUGUACCUAUAAAAUAUAUGUUAGUCAUAAUGAUUUGUGAUUAUCAAUCACCAAAACCAAAUUAGGGAGUCGAUGCUUUCAGAUUAGCCAAACAAAAGGGUGCAUGUCCCAAACUCAAACAACCUGCCUAUUACUAACAAGCAACGCUAGAACAUAUCUUGCAAACCUCAUAUUUUAGCGGUAUAUAUAGACUAAGACUUCAGUAGAGUCAUUAGAACUUCCAUCGAUUAGAAAGAGAGAGGAGCCUGCAUCGCCAAGAGUUCCUCCAGUUGACCACUACCCUUGUUGGCGCCAUUGCAAACCUUCUCCUUGAUCCUUAGCUUGAAUAACCCUAUCUGAAUUUAAGAAAAGAUCAAGCUUUUGUACUAAUCUCACAAGGUUAUCAAAACCACUCUAUUUCAACAUUCCCAAAUGUUAGGUUUAUUAGUUCUAUAUUGAUAAUUGAUGUUGAGAGCGUAACAUAUAAGGCAGGGUAACCAAACUAGUCUUUUGGAUUGAAUUAGGAUAAAGGUCUUGUUUUGGCUUUAGUAGACCUGAACCUGAGGGGCAUUGGUUUAUCAUUAGAAAGCCAUUUAUUUAGCCAGUUCUACUAUUGCUGAAUAUUCUGAAGUAUACCACACCUGCGAAAAUAAAUUCUACCUCACCUUUUUCGAAAGAAACUAUGAUCAGGGGCAGAGAUUGCCCCCUUAAGGUUGAUUAGUAUAUACUAGUACUCCUCAAAAGUUAUACUAAUCCUAGAGAUUAUGGGUAAAAAAAUACUUCUCAACUAAGCUAACAAAGGUCCCAUUAGAAAGAAAAUAAUCUUCCUAUUGUGUUUUUCUCAAGUUAUAUGUCCUGAUUGUAGAAAUCUUUGUGAGUAGAUAAAAAAACAAUGUGAGCAAUUGGUUUUAUGUAUGAUGUUCCUUUUUAUAUUCAAUUAUAGAGAGUUAGCAUUAUCCGAGAUGAGAUUAAAGAUGAUCUAUAGCUGCUAUAUGAAUCUAGCUCCGCCCCUGCCUGUUGUCAAAAUUUUCAUACAUAUUCCUAAACAGUAGUUUAAAAAGUAUAUCUCCUGAACAAUGACGCGGGGAUUGAAUUUAAGUCUGUCCUCGAACGCUUAUCUUAGACUGAAGAAGAACAGGCUCUAGCCUCUAGGACCUUCACUUGUUCACGUCGGCAACUGAAUACUCAACUGCUUGUUGUUACGGCGACGUACUCGUAUGUACUGCAGUGCGCGUGCAAGUGCUCGUAAUCCCAUAAACCUGCUAAUACUCAAACUGUUCGAAAGCAUAUUCCGUAUUCACAUGCUGAAUCCCUUGCCGCAGCAGCCACCGUCAACCAAAACCUUGGACGCUCACGGUCUGCGGUCUGCUGCAUGUCCGUGUUUCUUAGAAAGACGGUAAAAGCUUUGCCCAUUUUUUAUUAGACGGACAAAAGGGGAAAAUGCAUUACUUAUAUAGUUCUAUUGUGGAAAAAGGAAGCUCCCAAUUACCAAAACUAGAGCUGAUUCGAAUGAGCGUUACAAGCAGUCAAGCACACGUCGUCUGUUCCUAUAAUAAAAAGGGGGGAAAAAGUAGGAGCUGAUUCGAAUGAUUCACUGUUGUGUUUGUGUAGUUUUGGACCACGGUCUUGAUGGUCCAGGUAGUAUAUACAUAAGCUGUAGCCUGUAGAGGACAACACACCGGUCAGUCAGCCAUGGCCGUGUGGGCCGGGCCCCCAUUUUUCUUUCCGAAAUCUCUCUGAAAACGGUCACACGAUUUCGUGCCCUGAAACCCGCGAUUACGGCAACGACUAUUAGAAAUUGAUUUUACAUGUGUAACCGCGCUGCCUGCUUUCUUCUUGGUCACUUCGUGGAUCCCAGCAGCACUGCAGCAGAGAGGUUCUCCUUCUCCCUCUUCUGAACAUCUGAUCCUGUCCAAAUCCAAACGGAGAAGAAGGAAGGUCAGUACGUCUCUCUAUCCCUCCUGUUCUUUUUGAUUCCUCACGCCGCCUUCAUUCAUUUCUUCUUUCCUAUAAUCCAUGUUAGGAGAUUAAAGAACUCGAUAACUAGGAGAAGUUGAAUCUCCCUCCAAUGCGCGUCGAUUGGGGCGCGCGCGGGAGCAUGUGGUUUCGCCCUAAUCGCUGGAUCACUUGUCGCUGAUCCAUCCAAUGCAAUGACCUCCUAUUAACAUCAGUGCUUGUGCUUCAGUCUUUAGAAAAAUCGCUGAUCCAAUGCAAUGAACUCCUAUUAACAUCAGUGCUUGUGCUUCAGUCUUUAGAAAAAUGAGUCGCGCGCCCCUCGGUUUCAAGAGUAUUCCGGGUUUCAACUGAUCGAUGGUACUGGUACCAGGUCGCAACUGAUUACUGAUCCCAUCCACCGCACAUAUCAGUUAUAUAUAUAUACCACAAGUAGUAGUUAAGCUUCGAAGUUCAAACCAAACAAUAACAAGAUCACCACUGCACAUGUCCUGCCAGAUGUAUACUUUUUUGUCCCAGUUGGGUGAAUAUAUCAUGGAUUACCCCUGUAGUACACUGAAGAUUACUAGUUAAUUGCUUUCUGCCGAAGCUAUCGUUAUGGCGCCUUCUCGCCUUUUGGCUAGACACUCAUUUACAAUCACUGCUAGCUAAUCCAUGCUUCAUCUGGCAUCACAAUCAUCACUACCGUCUUGUAAAUUUCUCUAUAUCGAUCGAGUUGCCUGUUAGAAAUUGUUCGAAGAUUUCCACGUAUAUAUGGCACAUGAUGUGCAUCUCAUUUACAACUUUUUUUUCUUGGUCACGCGAACGGCGUUACAUAUAUUUUGUAUACUCAUUUUCUAUAAGUGGCAAUCAUAUGCCAUGUCAAAUUGCCAUUAGCAGGACCACCUCCUUGGCCCCUGACAUUACAACUGGUUAGUUUUGGCAAGGUCCAUUCCAAAAGAAGCAAUGUGCUCAAGUCAUUAUCGCCAUUUACUAGUCUACCCUGAGCACCGCGAGUUCUCAAAGGGGAAGUUGUUCAACCCAGAAAGAGAGAUGGAAACGAUAAGUUAUAAUACAUCGAAGAAAGAUUUUGUGGGGAAUGCUAAUUAUAAUACUGAAUCCUUCUGAGUACUCUUGGUGCAUUGUAAACCCCGCAUGCUUCAGCCUUUUUGGGUAUGUUCUCACAAUAUAAAGACUUGGAGCCAUGCAGGUGUCACAAGAUCAGUGCACCCAGGGCUUCCUGCUAAGGUAAGCUCUUCCUCUCUCUCUCUGGACUGCUUAACUUCAGGCUGCCUUUCAUCUGCUUGCUACUGUAGUCCUAUCUAUCCAUAUCUGCUCCUUUGGCUUCAUUAUUUUCUUUAUUUCCUUGUAAAUUAGUUGAACACCAUCGAUACCAUCGUUAAAUCCUCUAAACAUCCUGUCUUUGUAGUCAUUAUAGACUCGGAAAGUCUGUAACUGUUCUAGACUUGAAAAGUUCCAGUGAUCAGCCAAGCAUGAACGAAAGCUUCAGGAAACAGUUACUUUUAUGUAGCUUUCCCCGGUCAAAUUUGACAUAGGAAAGCAGACUCGUCACAUAUGAAACAAAGUUCUCAAAUCAUACUGUGUCAGUGUCUACAGUCAAUUAGGCAAUCCGGCCUUUCUGAUUCAAUAAUUCUGAUUGUUCUCUACUGGUUGUUUCCUAGUGGAUUGUCCAGAGUAACAAAUGCGAAUCACAAAACAGUAGAGUUAUACUGUAGGUAGGACUUUGAUAUCACAUUUAGUGGACGACAAGAAGUUGCCCCCCUAAAUAUCAACUAUAAAAAGACGGUGUUAGGGUGAUCUUUUUUUCAUCACUUCUUCCUUCUGAUCCCGUUCUGUUACAUCACUCAGCACAGCCAGGAGCCUGAUUUGAGCAGCCCUGAUGGAGCAUUUCAGGCGAGGGGUGGAGUUUGGGAUGGCCUCCUUCCAGAGAUGCCAUCCACUGUCAUGUCAAAUGGUUGGUGAUCAUGCAAAACCUUUGCUUCAUGAUUUUUAGUUAUAAAAUAGAAACUGGCCAUAGAUGUCGGCUAAGGCUAGUAGGCUACUAUAACCUGACUAGUUUUAAGUUUUCAGAACUGUUUAUGCCUCUGCCAUAACUGCAUCUUGUGACAAAUUAAGAGAUGGACUAGACUGCUGUUCUGAACUUCUGAUCAUCAGUUCCUAGCUAGUGCCUAACUGCCUACAUAUAUAUACUGAUUUUUUUUCUUGCAUCGUGCUGCUGCAUCAUUCUCUUUUAGAUUUGUUUCAUUUGGCUGAAUGUUCAAACAGGCAGAGAGCGCACCGCUCGAUGCGCAGAAGCCGGAUAUCCGCUGUAAAGAGAAGUCACGGCAUUCUAAGUGCUGCCACCUCGAAGAGAUGCCAGUCAUCCCUGAGCAGGCCAUGGAGUUCCUCUCUCGGACAUGGAGCCCCUCCUCCUCGGAUCUCUUCCAAAUACUCUCCCCCAGUGUAUGUUUAUGUCCAUGGACCACGGCUCCAGUUUCCUUUUCAGUUUUCACCAAUCGAGCGGCGACAUCUUCUCUCAAGCCACUCCAUUGUUUUACAAUCCACAUACAAAAUAAUGCUUCGCACAAGCUACAGUAUGCUUCAGUCCUAUCCAUUUAGUGCAUGGAUCUUCCUUAGGAAAAACGCAUCUUUUUUUUUAUUUACCUUUUUUCAGUCUGCAGAAUGUUCUGUCUUUUGUUCACGGUUACUUUUAUCUAUUUCUAAUCUAUAAUAAUAUAAUAAAGGGCCUGGGAUCAUCGCUGGAGGACCCAGAGCAAGAUGAAGCAAGAGGAGACGGAGGCGAAGACGACAAAGAAAAGCAUCUUGGCACCGUUCGUUUCAAUGGGGGAACAACAAACCAAUUGUUCAAUCAGACAUGUGUAAGUCAGCCACUGGGCUCUCGUCUCGGCGGUGAACUAUUGCCCCAGUGUUUCAUUGUUAAUGAUGAUCCCUGGUUUGCCUGACAGAGACUUGUAGCCGGCGGCAGGCCUAACAGCGGACAGCGCCGGCACAAGCUCGUCCAGCCUGCCUGGGUAAGUAAGGAGUAAGGACAAGAUACUAGUUAGAUGUUAUUACAAACACCAUUGUUCCUACUAACAUGCUAUCUUGUCGGAACUGAUACAGUAACUUCCUUGUUUGAUUCGCUUGCUCAAAAAAAAAAUGCAGCUCAAAGCUGGAAACAUGAAGGCGAUGCUGCGUGGUUUCCUGCUGGACAGCUUGCCAGUCACCGGAAGCCGGCGGAGGAGGCGGAGGGACGAGCUCCGGCUGCACUCGGCGCAGGCGCACGCUGCCGUGUCGGUGGCGCAGCUCGCUGCGGCGGUGGCGGGCAUCGUGUCGGCGUGCGACCUGAGGCCGGCGGCCUCGGCUAGCGCUGGCGACAGGAGGCUAGGCACGGUGCUCGCGUCCGCCGCGGCGCUGGUGGCCACCGUGUGCGCUGAGGCCGCGGAGAACUCCGGCGCCAACCGCGGCCGCGUCACGUCCGCCGUGAGGACCGGCCUCGAGAGCCGCUCCUCCGCCGACCUGCUCACCCUCACCGCUACCGCUGCCACAUGUAGCAACUGCAUGCAAAACCACGCCCAAAAUUUAACGUCACAGAUUCAGAAUGAAGAGGGAGCUGAUUGCAUGCAUGUUGUUCGUGUCUGAUGCUUCUGCCAGGUUUGAGGGGAGCCGCGGCGCUGAAGCAAAGGGCAGCUGACCUCAGGGGAAUCAGCACCAGCACCAGCACCAGCACCAGCAGCAACGCCGCCAUGGCCAUGAGCGUCAGCGCUGGCAUCCAGAAGGGCACGACUCUCAGAGUCUGCCUGCCUUGUGGUGAGAGACAUAUAUGCAUUAUUUUCGAUUUAUCCCGUGCAUGGUAGUACGUACCAGUUGUAGUUGUGCAUCGCUUCUAGUUUGACACUGCAACUGAUUACUGUCUGAGUACUAGCUUGCUUGGGUUUGGGUGUGCUAUAUUUGCAGGAAGUGUGCGUGUGAGGACGGUGUCCGUCUUCCCGCGGCGCGGCGACGGCGCAGCGGUGGUUCUGCGGCUGGGGAAGAAGCGCCUGCACGGCGCGUUCGCCACCUUCAAGGACUGUAAGUAACAGCGCUCGCGUGCACGCGCAGUUGAUCUCACAACGCUAUUCCCUCGUCGCCGCCGCGCGCGCGUGCAUGCGCGUGGGUGGGCGCACUGUGUGUCUCCUCGCGCGUAAUCGCGUACGUUCGGCUUGGCCGGGAAGACGACGAGAGGCGCUCGCGCGCGCGGGCGCGGCUCGAUCGCCUGCACCGUACCACCUGAGCAGCUAGUUUGGCGUUUUUUGGCCCGUUGCCCCGGCCGACACGCUUGUCUCUAACGACCCCCAAUCAAUCGUCCAGGGACGGUCAAGUCCCGUCACGAUUGGUCUGUUUGUACCUUGGUACUAGCGUCACUGUUGUGACUUUGGCUCCAAGCUGCUUGGCCGCAUACUGUGUUGAUACGGAUUCAUUCGCCGACGACUGACUGAUCGAGAUUUGCCGUUUGGUGGCGACGAUGAUUUUCAUUUUCAGAUGUGGUCUCGGCGGUCGGAGACGGCGGCGGCGAGGCGGUGGUGGAAGGGCGGCCGGCGUUCCCGGUGGCGCUGAUCACGUCAGAGCAGGGGGUGACGGUGCAGCUGCUGUUCGAGCACCAGACGCACUGCAAGGUCUGGAAGGCCGCCAUCGAGGGCAUGCUGGCCGAAAGAAGAAGCUCAAGCGCGACAACCAACUGAACUGAUCAGUCUGAUUGGGCACACGCGCACACCGAUCUUCCCGCGCUUCUAUACUUCAUCGAGUAGAAUUGAGAAAUGUCUUGUUUUUGUUUUUCUAUCUUGUGUAAUCACGCCUGUACGUGUUUUGUAACAUGUUUGUAUGUAUGGGGGUGAAUCGGAGCUCAUAAAAGUGCUAUAAAAAACUGCUCUAGGGUUGAAGAGAAUUGUCUACCUUUUAUGGCUUACAUUUAUAUUACAAACAAAGGAUCAUGUCGUUUGAAGACAUGAGCCAUCUCGAGUACCGUUUCAGCCAAACUUUGACAACAGGAGAGAAGAAGGCGCAUACCAUGGCAAUCCUAACUCUAUGGAGCAUUUGGAACCGACGAAAUGCAGUUGUUUUUAGUGAAGAUCGAAAGACGACAACUUCACUAGUUGUAGAGAUUAAGGACAUGGCUCGUCAAUAGUUGUUGACAGGAUGCAAAGCUCUUAGGCCUCUUAUGGUUGCAUAUGUAACAGUGAGUAAUUAGCUAUGAAUCAAAGCCCCACGUGAUCUAGGCUGCGCUGGGGAGCGCUGCUCGCGCUUGUAACCCGAUGUUUCCUGCUUCUCCUCUUAUUAUUAAUCAAAGCCGGUUAAACCGGAUCUUUCAAAAAAAUGUUGUUUGAAGAAACAGAAACUUAAACAGGAUCUUAACACAUGUAUUAACGCCACUCAUCGCACAGAAGAGUAUGUAAACGAGGGGAGUCUUUUUUUAGCAAAGGGAAGAACAAUAAUUAACCCCACUCAUAACACAAAGGAAAAUGGAAGCCCAAAAGGCUAUUUAGGCCGGCAGCUAUAUGCCUCGUUUGGGCCCAAUUUUUCUUUUUCUUUUACACAGGCCCAGUUUUGCUUUACUGCCAAUAUAUAUACGUGAAAAACGUCGUUGUUGUUUCCUUUCAGUCUAACUUUGGCCCCAUUUGUCAGUUUACGAGUGGCCCACCAUACACUAACAAAAGGUUUGAAAUCUGAGGGAGGAAUUUUGAAAGACACUCGAACCAGCCGUCCUGUCUCUCUCAUCCACUAGAGAAGGCCCCACUGUCCUUAUCCGACCGCCCUCUCAAAUUUUGUUCCGAAACUAUCCUUGCGGUUUGCUAGCGUUGCUAAGGGCUUGUUUAGGCCUUGUUCAGUUGAGAAAAUUUUUUGGUUUUGGCUACCGUAGCAUUUUCGUUUGUUUGUGAUAAAUAUUGUCCAAUCAUAGACUAACUAGACUCAAAAGAUUCAGCUCGCGAAUUACAGGCAAAUUGUGUAAUUAGUAUUUGGUUUUGUCUACAUUUAAUACUCCAUGCAUGUGUCACAAGAUUCGAUGUGAUGUGGAAUCUUGAAAUUUUUUGGAAACUAAACAAGGCCUUAGUUGUUGCCUGAAAAAAAUUCAAAAUAUUAUAGCACUUUCGUUUGUAUUUGAUAAAUAUUAUUUAAUCAUAAAUUAACUAGAUUUAAAAAA